ACCAAACUAAGGGCCCAAAACAGCAGCCCGGGCAAAACAAAAUAUCUAUCUUUAAAGAAAAAUAAAAUCCUGCCUAAAUAAACUAAAAGAGAAUUCUAGAAUCUCAUUUAUUACCACCGUACAAAUGCCCAAUCAGAGACUUCAAUCGCCUGCUAUUACCAUCAUUUCUGUCAAUUCAUCUUUAAUGGUGAUAUAAGAUUUCAAAGGAAGCAUUUACCACUGAGACUAUUGAUUUAGCCAUUUGAAACUUCCCUCUAACUUUUCAUUUCUUUUCUUCUUCAAUCCGGCUCUCUCUCCAAGUCAUUUUUCCUCUGGUUUUCGGCAUAAACGGGCACGCUUUCAACCAGGUAAGUUCAUUCCUGCCUUCUUAGAGAUUCUUUAGCUAAUAUGUGGGCUAAACUAUUCGCUGAUCUAGGGGUAUAUUCAAACUUAAGAUUGCCCGAUCUGGAUUUUAACUGAUGGAUAUCAUGUAUAAAGGCCCCUAUCUUCGAUUUAUCUUCCCCUUUAGCAUUACAUCUUUUAAUAAUGGAUAAAGAAUCACCUCCAAUGAUGAUUUCCUUUCCUUGCAUAUCGAAACCUAUCCUGGUUGCUGUCCUGCAAGCUAACGCUUUGGCAGCGAAGGCAGAGGGCACUCCAAAAUGAAGCUUUGUGCAUGACAGGAGAACAAACCUUUCACUGUUUCUGGCUACUAUCACUGUUUUUGGCUACUAUCCCAGAGGCCGAUUGUUGAUUACACUCGUCAAACGCUUCAUCGAAAUUUAUUUUUAUUAACUGCCCAGGUGGGGGUUUCCACUUUUUAACUUCCUUAACGAUAUUAGGCUUGUUGCUCUUAACACCUUCCAGUUCUUCUAAAUAGCUAAGAACAAAGCUUACAAUCUCCUGACUCGAUCUUUUUGUUUUGUCACGUACAUGAGUUUUUAUGUUACCCCAGAUGGCCCAUAGCGUGCAACAAAAUAGUUUGCAGAGAGGUUGAGGUUGGAGAACAAGGUUCUUGGUAAGCCACUGUUUGAAAUCUAAGUUUGUUCCCUUUUAUACUGUUUAAAGUUGAUAAAGUUCUCUAUACUGCUACUGAUACAGGACAAUGACGGAAAAGAUGGUUCAUCGUUUCUAGUUCUUCCCCACAUCGAGGGCAUAAUGUACUGUUUGUCAGUUUCCUACAAAGAAUGUUCACUCGAGUAGGCAGAUAAUUCCAUGAAAUCUUCCAGAUGGUGAUUAAAAUUUUAUAUGGUAGAUCGAGGCUCCAUAAUUUUUUAUAAAAUUCCUUUAAUUCCAAAGAUUGGCUCUAAUCUGAAUAGUCUCUAUCUCUUUGUAGUAAUCAUCCACAGAUUUAUCUUCUUGAACAAGAUGUUGGAGUCUUUGAUGGAGUUCUCGAUAAUAGUAUGGUGGAACAAACCGUUUUCGUAAGAUGCGCUUCAUUUCAACCCAAGUAGUAACAGGUUGCUCUCUAUAAAGAAUCUGCUUUUACAUAAUUGAUUCCACCAUGUUAGUGCAUAAUUAAUGAACUCAGCGACAGCGUAUGUUACCUUUUUCUCAUCAGAGUAAUUGUAACAAGCAAAUAUUGCUUCCAUCUUUUCCUCCCAAUCAAGGUAAGCAUCAGGAUCAUUCUUCCCUGAGAAAGAAGGAAAUUUUGGUUUGGGGGUGUCAUUGUUUCGUUCCACUCUUUCUAUAGGUACAUACUCUGGACUCAAAGUCAUCAUAAAAAACAUGGUCCUACCUUCGUUUAAAAGUUCGAUCGCGCGAAUUUGAUCGGCUUAUAAAGGCUUCGUUCAACUUCUUUUAAUUAUCGGCAAUGUAUCUCUCUUGAGUUGUAAGUUUUGUAUCAAGAUACUCCCUUUGCUCUUGUAUCAUUUGGGUCAUGCGAUGUUCGACUUGAGUUUGCAAUUUUUUCAUCUCUUUUUGUAACAACUCGACCAAAGGAUCGUUAUCUUUUUUUUGCUCAUCCUCUUCAUUUUUACUAGUUUGGGAUCUAGUGAUCGGCAUGGUAUCUUUGAAAAAAUCACACAAACAGGAACAAGAAAAUAAUAAUAAUAACCUCACUCGUUAGCUCUUAAAAGAAUAACUCUCUGAAUGAUUCAAAACUUGUAAAUAUGUUUGGAGAGGGCUACUAAUCAAGAUCAAAUAAUGGAGGUGUAAACUUCAAAGAAACAAUGAAGAUCUUUAAGAGGCCAAUAAACUUGACGACGCAAUUUGUAAUGGAGGCUACACGGAUGAAGAAAUUGUGCGUGCCUUUAAUAUCUGCUAACACAAGAAGAAACAAUGUGUUAGAAAGCGUAAGAGAAAAAGAAAACGUAGAUCUGUAACGAUCCCUAACUCUAGAGUCAAAGAAAAAUUUUAAUAAGAAGAAAACUUAAAAAAACUCUAUCCAAUUUAAAGGAAAAUAAAAAAUCGAAAACGUUCGGUGUCUUAAGAUUUUCAAAAAUUGAAACUUUAAUUAUACUUGAGUUAAGAAAAGAAGGGGGAAAAAAUUCAAUUUUAGGAAAAAUAAAAUAAAAAUAAUAACAAUAUCCAAAAAUAAAAUAAAAAUAAUAACAAUAAUAUGAAAAGAAGAAACCUACGUAUGAAAGGUAGGCAAUUUUUUUUUUUGCGCUUUUUGCUUUUUUUUCCUUUUUUUCUUUUGCGCUUUUUGCUUUUUUUUUGCUGUUUUUGCUGUUUUUUUUCUUUUUUUUUUGCUUUUAUUUAAAGAAUAAGAGGAGAAUAAACACAAACUUUUUUUUUUAAAAAAAAUCGACGAAACCGAUGAAAAGUGUUUUUGGUAUUUUGACUCGUUUCAGAUUUGAUUUUAGCUUCAAAAAUAACAUCGACUGGCCUGAAACUGAUACCAACUGAUGCGGAAUCCCGCAGUUUACUACAAAGAUAUUUAUUACCAUUUUUCCCUAAGCUUUUAAUAAAUGAUAAUUUCGUCCCUACUCAAUUAGUCUCUCGAUGGAGCUGAUUUUUCUCAAUUAACACUUAAUUAUAUCACUUUAAACUACUUUAUAGUCUUUGGGAAUCAGAAUUUCAGCACUAGACUUUAAUUCCAAAUAUUUUCACAAUUAGGUCCUAAAAAUCAAUUUUUAUUGAAAUUACCUAAUAAAAUCAUCUCAUAAAUAAAUUAAAAAGCUUCAAUUUCAUGCUAUUUCAUCAUAAAAUUACCGCACUCAACCAUGGUGACUUUCAAUUUCAUCCAUGAAAUCAAAAACUAAUGAAUUUAAUAGUAGGACCUAGUUGUAACAGUCUUAAAAACACAAAAAUUAUAAGAAAAAGGCAAGGAUUAACUCACUUGGUGCAAAAAUUAUGAAAUACCAGCUUGAAUAAACUCUUAGGAUGUUUUUGGCUGAUGAUAAUGAAGAAAAUAUGAAGAGAAUUCUAGAUAUUCCAAUUUGGUCCCAUUUUUAUUUUAGUAAAUUUUGUUAUUUUCCCAUUUUGCCCUUAUUUCACCAAUUCUCCUGAUUUUUCUCAGCUUAUGCCGCCCAAAAUAUCUCCUUUUGAGCUUAUUUGCAAUUUAUGUUCCUCCUCAUUAAACAAUUGAGCUACUUAAUCCUUUUAGUAACUUUUACACCCUUUUCAAUUUAGUCCUUUUUUACUUAAUUAACUACCCAAACGUAAAAAUUUUCUAACGAAAUUUUAAUAUCAUAUUACUAACAUUCUAUAAAUUUUUAUAAAAAUAUUUUUGACUUAGUUUUACGAGAUUGAGGUCUCAAUACCUUGUUUUUACCCAAUUUCUUCAAUAAUUUCUUUUUUUUAACUAACAACUAAAUUGGUAAAAUUUUUCUAUCGAUAUUUUCAUACGAUUUUCCUAUCAUAUCAAUAUUCAUGCAAAAAUAUUAAAAUAAAUUUCUCUUUAAAUCGAAUUUGUGAUUACGAAACCAUUAUUCUGAUAACCUUGAAUUUAGGUCAUUACAAGUGUUAUAUUUUAAUAUGUAUAAAUAUAAAUUAGGAAUCACUUAAAUAAAUGCUAAUUAAAUUUCUAACAUGUUGGACUGCUUAAAUAGUAUAAUCAAAAUUUAAUAACACUCAAGUAAUUGCUGAAAUUUUAAUAUAUAUAGGUUGUUUCGGACAGCCAUGAAUAAGGCACAACACUAAAUUUGUUAAGCUGGUAUCACAUUCAAUAUAUCUAAACUUGGACAACAUUAAAUUCUAGAAAAUCAUUCAUGUAAAACAUAUUUAAUCUGUGCAAAAAUCAGACAACAUAGUGCAGUCAUUAUUCAAGUCAAACCACAUUCAAUUCAUUCAAAUUUGAACAAUAUGAAUGCAGUAGGAUUUUAUAUUAUUUCAUGAAACCUGAAAGAAAGUCUCAAAGACUUACGUAUUUGGAUAGCAUUAAGAUGCUCUAAAAUAAACAACAUUAAUAUACAAAAUAUUACAACAUAAGUGGGAAAAUAACACCAAUUCAGACAGUAUUAGGAUACUUCUAAAAUAGACAACUUUAAUGCACAAAUUAUGAGUACUUAAUAUCAAUUCAGACAACAUUCAAAUUCUGCAUUUUAGCAGCCCAAAUGACCUACCAAAUCAGACUUAAACAAUAAUUAACAAUUAACUUAUUAUUGCAGCACAUAUUAAUUACCAAUUACAUUCUUUGACAGCUUAAUUUGGCAUCAAUUUAGACACCAUUAAUUAACAUUAUUACAACCAUUUCUCCUGUUGUAAUUAAUUGUCCAUUAAAAGCCCAAACAACUUAAACAUACAGCUAUUGAACUCCAUUUAAUCAGCACAUUAACUAACACUUAGACAUAAAUUUUGCAACAUUUACUUUGCCUUUAUUCUCAUUCAAUAACUUCAUAAAUAGUUGCAUUAACCCCUUUAACAAUUAGGUUUAGGCACCAUAACCUGCAACUAAAUAAACAUCAUUAAUUUAGCACAUCAAAUGGCAUUCAGUCAUACAUGUGCAGCAUUAAAUUAGUCUUCUAUUACCUUCCUAGUUGCAUUAAUGGCAGCAUCAAACACUCCUAUUCACAGGUUUCAGACAUAAUAAAUACAUCACUAUUUAUUAAGUUCCCUUCAUACCAGACGAACCAGUUUCGAGAUUUUUCCCUAGCUGAUCCUAGCUUCUAAUAUGCUCCUACACCUUCUUGCUACAACCCUCAUCAUUGAAGAAUUAAGCUUCUAAACAAGCCAAAACAAUAGUUUUUUCCCUACAUGCAGUCGGUGUCAUGGUCUCUCCCUCCAUCCAAAUGAACAAACAAAAACAAGGAAGAAGGUAAAGCUCUCUUCUCCCCCAAACAGAUAUCAAACCUACCCUUAAGAGGUUUCUUUCCCCUUCUCCACCCCCUCCUAUUUUAUCACUCAUAAUGUUUUUUAUAUUAUAACUAUUUAUUAAUAAUAAAUUUCUAACAUUUAAAACAAUUUAAGCCCCCACCACCAUCCACUACAUAAAUACAUAGGUAUAAAUGCAUUAUAAAUCCUUUAGCUUUGAUUUACAUUAUAAUAUUAGUUAACAUAAUAAUAAUAAUAAUUAAACUUUGUUAUAUAUAUUUAAAGACAUAUUUAAUAAAGACAUAACCGACCACUAAUAAGAUCACAUAUCUUAUGGUCUAUUUAUUAUGUAGGUCCUAUAUAUUUAAUUCUAUUUAUAAAUCUUACUUUAUUCAAUUACGCGAUUUAGACCAUGUACUCUAUCUAAACACUCUUUCGUCAAAAAAUUACAAAACAAAAAUUUAAUUCACUUCUAAUAUAACUCUGCAAAUAUUUUUAUUAAAUAUUUAGUAGUUCGGUUUAGGGAAAUGAAGUCCCGAUACCUCAAUUUCCAAAACCAUCGACUUUAGAACUGAUACACUUGUAUCUUGUCUAACUUUCCAAUAAUUAAAAUUAUUAGACCAAACUUCAAUAUAAUACUACAAUAUCCUCACAAAUAUUAAUAAAUAAUAUUCACUGAUCCUAUCAUCGGAAACAGUAUUCUGAAACCACCGUUUUUGACUUCAUUGACUUUUGGGUCGUUACAUUCACAUCAUAUUUACACUUUCAUUUUGGUUACUCAACUUAAAGCUUAAAAUGAAAAAAAUUAUAGAAACAAAAUUAAUGCAUUAAAAAAAUUGUCAUAUUAAAAUUCCAAAUUUAUAUUUUUCAAUAUUGAAAAUUUGAAUUCCAAAACAUUAAAAUCAAUUAAAUAAAAUGUUGAAAAUUAUUUAUCUCUCGAUAAUGUCAACCUAUUUGUUACUAUAAUAUUAAAAUUAAUUAAUUUAAUCUCCUUCUAAAUUUUAAAUUUUUAUAUUUAUGUUUGUAACACUCUCAUACCCGACCUGAUUGCUAGGUUAAAGUACCGGGAUGUUACAUUCGUUGCCGAAGCAACUGUAAAAGUUUCAGAUUAAUUUAUCAUAUUAUUUGAUAUUAAAGAUCAUUUUACUCAUUUUAGUAAUGAUUGAAUUUAUGAAUUAAAACAUAAUAUUCAAUCAAAGAUAACAAAAUUUAUAAAAUUAACACAAUUAUUAAAGUUUUACAAAUAAAUCCAUUAGAGGACUUGCACUAUAUAAAGUAGUGUACCCACUUCAUGUAUAUUUAAUAUUUAUUUCUAAAUUGUGUCAAUUAAUUUAAUUUUCAUAAACUUUUAGCCAAGAUUUCAAAAUCACAUUAAUUAACAAUUAUUCACUUAUUAUUUUAUCAAUUCAUUUAAACAUUCUCACAUGUAGUAAUCAUUCCAUCACUUAUAACCAUUUCGUAACAUUUCAAAUUCAUCUACUAUUUCUUCCUCCUCCUCUCCCUUCCACAUCCUUUAUGUAUAAAUAUUAGAAUCUUUAGCUUUUAGUAUGACAUGCUUAUAUAUAAAAUUAACUAUAAUUCCACUAUUUACUGAUGUGUUCAUAUCAAAGUUGUCCACUUGUGUCAUAGUCACUAAAUUAUUUAUAUCUUGAAAUGCAAAAUUCAAAAUUUAGAUUCGCUUGUUGUUUUUGAAACUAGACUCAAAUAUAUUUUUUAUCAUACAAAUUUUAGAAUUUAUGCUUUAGCCAAUCAGUACAGUAAAAUCUUCAAAUUUUUCCCUGUUCUGCUACUUGACAGUUUCGACCUUUCUUUACUAAAAAAUAAUUAUCUCAUAGUAUGGGGUUCAGAUGAUGUUUCCUUUGACUCUAUUGAAAAUAUACUCAUUAAGAAUUUAAACAUAUAAAUUUCAUCCCAUAAUAAUUUUUGUACAGUUUUUGAUAAUUUUCCAAAUUCAGAACUGUAACACCUUUAUCUCGGUUCGUCGAGUACUAGGGUGCUACAAGCAAUUACCAUACAAUUUCAACCAUUUAAACAUUUAUAAGAAAUAAUUAAAUGUGAAAUAAUUACAUCCAAGCAUGCAUAUGAACCUCUUAAAUCUAAUUCAAUUAAAUAUUGAAUAUACAGAAGUUUAAAAACAAUUCGGAAAAGAUUAGGGAUUGAUUUGAGGCAAAAAUAAAAAGUUGAAACAAAAGAAAUCUGGAAACAAGGCACACACGGCCGUGUCCCCAACCUUGUGAAAAACGUUCAGCCCAUGUGCUUGGCCACAUGGUCGUGUUGUAACAGCCUAAUUUUCAGUGGUGUCGGAACAGUGAUUCGAGAUCACUAAAUCCGAAAAAUGAGUAGGAAAUAUUAUUAAUUUAGUGAGUAUAAGUUAAAUGUGAAGUUAGGAAAAAUUUUGAAAUAGUGAAAUGUACAAAAUAUAUAUAUUAAAAUAAUUAGAAUUGAAAAUGAGGUAUCGAGACCUCAGGAAUUUUAAAUCGAGCCAUAAAUAUUUUUAUAAAUAUUUAUGGAGUGUUAAUAAGUUAGUAUUAAAGUUUCGUCAAGAAAUUUUAAAGUACUGAUAGCUAAUUGAACAAAAAGGACUAAAUUGUAUCAAAUGCAAAAUUGUGGAAAAUGAUUAAAUAGCUUAAAUGAUAAAAGAAAGAGGGUUUAAAAGGAAAAUAGACCCAAGGUCUAUUUGGGCUGGACGGUAAGAGCAUGAAAUCACCAAGAAAAUAAGGGCAAAAUUGCAAAAUUGCAAAAUUUACUUAAUAAAGCUAGGACUAAAGUGGAAUUAUCUAGAUUUCUCUUUAUUUUUCUGCAUUCUCAUCAGCAAAAACACCAUGGAAGAGUUCCCUUAAGCUGGUUUUUCAUAUUUUAACUGCAAGUAAGUUCAAUUCUUGAUUAUUUCUUGAAAUUUUUGUGUUUUUGUGACUUUUACAACUAGGUCCAUUUGUUGAAUUCAUUAGUUCUUGAUUCUAUGAAAGAAAUUGAAAGUUUCUAUGAAUAUGUGCUGGAAGUAUAUGAUGAUUUGAUAUAGAAUUAGAGCUUUAAAUUGUUUAUAUGCUGAUUUUAUUGAAAGAAUUGAAUAGAAAGUGAAUGUUUGGGACCUAAAUUGUAAAAGAGUUUGAAGUUAGAGUUUUAUGUGGAAAUUCUGAAUUUCAAUAGUUAUGAAAUAACUUAUAAUGUCUAGGAAAAGUAUUAAUUGAGAAAAUUAGUUUAAUUGAGGGGUUAAUUAAGUAAGGAUUGAAUUGUAUGAACUGUGAAAUUUGGGGCAAAAUGAAAAUCAACAUUUUGCACGAAAACAGUUUUGGACAGCAGCAAUAGUCUAACUUUGAAAAAUCUCCAAAAAUUUUAGAAACCUAUUUAGAGGAUGAAUAAAAUAUGAAAUUAAAUAUUAUUGAGUCUAGUUUCUUAUAGAAGAAACGGUGUAAGCAAUGGAAUUGUAAAUCAUGAGAUAUAAUAAGUUUUGGGAGACAAUGUCAGAAUGAUUUCGGGUUCCCCUGUUCUGACUUUGGAAAAUCAUCAAAAAUUGGAUAAAAAUAAUUAAGGGAGUAAAUUUAUAUGUUUAAAAUCCUUAAAGAGUCUAUUUUCAAUAGAAAUAAGCAGGAACAUCAUCCGAAUCUCGUACGAUGAGAUAAUUAAUUCUUAGUGAAGAAGGGUCGGAACUGUCAGACAGCAGAACAGGGGCAACUUUAAAGAAUAAACUGUACUUAUUGGCUAAACCAACAAUUCUGAAAACUUUAUGGUAAUAAGAUAAGUAAGUCUAGUUUCAGGGAAAAUUAGCGGAUCUUAAUUUUUAGUUCUGUAGCUUAAGAUAUAAAUAAUUUAGUGACUAUGACGCAAAUGGACAAUUUUGAAUAUACAUAAGUAAAUAGUGAAAUUAUUGAUAAUGUUACUUGUUGCAUGUUAUAUAAAUUAAGGAUGUGGAAUGGAGAGGAGGAGGAGGAAAAUAUGUAUGAAUAUUCAGCUAGCAUGGCUAAUUUGUAUGUUUUAGGCUCAUGGAUUAAAUUGAAUAAAAGUAAAAUUUUAUGGGCAAUUUUGUAAAAAAAAUGUUAGAAAUGACCAAUUUUCAUGAAAUAGAUUAUUUUAUUAUUUAAAUUACAAAAUUGAAUGAAAUUAUUAAUUUAGCUCAAGAUCAAGGAAAAACAUGUUUUAAGGAUUAAAUUGAAAAGUCUUGAAAUUAUGGAAAAUUCUGACAUUUUAUAGAAUUCAUAGGUUGUUAUCAAUUUGUGUGAGAAUAACGGCUGAAAAUAAGGAUUAAAUUGCAAUAAUUUUAUUUUAUUUUAACCUAAGGAUGAAAUCGUCAUUAAUUAAAAGUUUAGGGGUAAAAUGAUAAUUUUGUUUAGAGCAUUAGUUGAAUGUAUUAUAACAUGAAAUAAAUGAAAACGAUGAUCAAAUUUCUUUAUAAAGAUCCGGAUGACUUGAAUACGAGACUUGAACGUGGAAAAGAAAAGAUAUCGGAUUAAUAAAAUAUCUGAUAAAUGAAUCGGUAACUCCGGUAAUGCUCCGUAACUCUAUUCCGGUGACGGAUUCGGGUUAGGGGCGUUACAUGGUCGUGUGUGAGAGUCACACAGUUGUGUGGAUAUGUUACAUAGUCGUGUGGACAAACCGUAUAACUCACUGAACACGUGUGCACUAAAAUCAAAAAAACGUUAUAGACUACACUACCGUGCCACCAGCCCGUGUGUGGCACAUGGCCAUGUGUCAGAUCGUGUGUACCUGGAAAAUUCCUUAUAAAACUUGUAAUACAUCCUAGCUGUGAUAACCCGAAUUAGGGCCUAAUCGAAAUAGUGGUUUCGGGACCACAAAAUUUGAGAUAGAAAUAAUUAUUUUAUGAUUAUUUUGAGGUCUAUGAUAUGAUUGCAUGAUUGUGUGAAAAUUUCGUGAAGAAAUUCUAUGCAUAAAGUGCUUAAUUUGAAGUUAGAGACUAAAUUGAAUAAGUUGCAAAACUUGCAUUCUAGAAGUUUCUAGUAUGAAAUUGCUUUGAAAUAUUAAUUAGGAGGCCUUAAAUAGCAAUUUGACCAAAAUUUAUAAGUUUAUGCACAAAAAUUGGACAUGGAUGAAAUUUUUGAAAGUUUAGUAAGGAAGGGCAUUUUGGUCAUUUGGAUAUUAAAUGAAAUAAAAUGGGAAAAAUAACACAAAAAUGAUCAUCUGCUCCAUAAGUUGCUGCUGAAUUUUUUUCUCCACCAUAGCUAGGGUUUCAACACUUUUAAGCCUUGAUUGUCAGUGAUUUCUAUGCCCGUUUUUAAUGUUCUUUACAUUUUUGAAAUCCUCGUAGCUCAGUUUACCUAUUUCUACCAAUAUUUUGAGUUAGGGUUUAUAUUUAAAAAUUUUCCCAUGGAUGAUAAGUAUGAAUUUUGAUGUUUUAUGGUAGAAUAUGAAGUUUGAGAUUGUGUUAAACAACUUUUGCUAAGUGAUUUUUCGUAAAAACGAGUAAAAUGACAUAAUCGGUAAAAAUACCUAAUAUUCAUAAGUACAUGUUAAAGUGUGAAUUUGAUGUUGCUAUAGAAGGGAAAAGUGAACAGCAUGUCAUAAAACAUAAGAAAAUAGGAUGAGGUUUAAUUUACGAGCCUUGGGGCAAAAGUGUAGAUAUGUAAAAGUUUAGGGGCAAAAUGGUAAUUUUGUAAAAGUUCGUUCUAGGGGCUGUUUUGAUGAAUGUGUGUAUUAAAUAAAUUAAUUUGGUAUUAUAGAUCAAGAGAAAAGAGAUUCGAGUCGAGAUCGGGGGAAAAUAAAGUUUACGAGGAAUAGGCUCGACUAUUCUCAUUUUGUAUGGAGGUAAGUUCAUAUGUAAAUAUUGUAAUAUAACCGUUAUUUUAAAUCAUUUAAUGCUAUUUAUACGAUAUUAUGAUUGUUAUCAUGCAAUUCUAUGCUUUGCGGUCAUUGUUGGACAACAUGCAAAAAUUUUAUGAAUUAUGUGAAAAAUGUGAAAGACUACCGAAGUAUCGUCAUUAGUAUUCCAAGGAGAAUAGUAAAGGAGUACGAACGAGGAAAGUCCCGUUGAACCUUAGGAAUAGAUUAGGAUAUUUGAACAUCCGAGCUUAUUGAGUCGAGUCCGAGUUCACUUAUGGAUGCAAAUGUCCAAGUUCGUUGAGUUGAGUCCGAGUUCACUUAUGGAUGUGAACGCCUGAGCUCGUUGAGUUGAGUCCGAGUUCGCUUAUGGGCGGGUUACAUGGUAGCUUGGCUACAUAUGUGGCACUUAUGUGCAAACUUUCCAAGUAUCCGAGUUAUAUUCCGAUGUGUUCAACAGGUAAAAUUCUAGUGAAAUGGAAGAAUACUCAAGAUGCAAGUGACGUAUUGGGAAGUGUUGUGGAAUGGGCACUUUGGACAGGUAUGUACUUAACCCUCGGGUGGAGACUUGAUACGAAAACAAUAAUAUAGUAGAAAUCAAAUUAAAUGAUGAAUAAGUUAUGGAAUCGAAGCUUGAUGAGUCUAUUUUCAUAUGGAAGAAACGAAACAGGUAAAUGAGUUAUAUUUUAUGAGAUAUUUAAGUUUUUGUGGAAUAGGGUCAGAGCGAUCUUUGAAUCCCCUGUUUUGACUUUAAAAAUUCACCAUAAAUUGUAAAAAAACAAUUAGGAGUUGUACCUUACAUGUAUGAAAUCCUUAUUGAGUCUAGUUUUAUGAGAAAAAAUAGUAUAGUCAUUGAAACUCUGUACAGGGAGAUAUCUGAUUCGUAAUACACAGGGGUCAGAGUAGCCAAACCCUAAAACAGGGGAGACUUUAACUAAUAAACUGUACUAAUUGGCCCGACCAAAAAUUCUUGAAAACAAUUAGUAAGUAGAUAGAUGAGUUUAGUUUCAGGAAAAAUUUACGGAAUUAGAUUUCGAGUUUUGUAACUCGAGAUAUGAUUUUUUUAGCGACUGUGACGCAGAUGGACAGUUUACUACGAGAAUUGUUUGAACUUGUUUAAAUGCUAAAAUAAGUUUAGUAAUGUCUCAUGCUCGACUCCGGCGACGGUCUCGGGUAAGGGGGCGUUACACUAGCAACACAUACCAUAAACAACCAUUUGCAACCACUUUAACCUAUUCAAAAACAUUUAAUUUAAACCCAAAAUAUCAUUGGAAUCAAAUAUACUAAGAAUCUAACCAAUAUGUACAAUUGGCACCUCAAAACACAUUUCAAAGUUCAUAAAAUAUCAAAAAAUAAAAAUUUUAAAAAAACUAUAUGCAAAAGACCAUUUAAGACCUUAGACAUCAUAGGUACAUGCCAAGACCAAAAGAACAACCGCCAAAGUUUGAGUUCAAGAUUGCCACUAGAUGCUGAGUCGAAUAUCUAAUCAGUGAGUAGCUAACAUGUGCACAGAACAGAAAUUAAAUCAUCCACUGAGUAAAUAGUAUCCCUAUAAUUUGAAUAUUUAAACAUUUUUUGAAGUAGUCAAAAUUCAUAUCCCAUAAUGUCAUUCAUUAUUCGUAUAUUAUUUCUUAUUCUCAUUUCCUCUCUUUAUCUUCCUUAAUAACAUACUUGAACUCAGACCUUUAUGCGACUUUGACUAACAUACCAAAUUUGGCACCCAGUACCUGACAGAUAAAUCCGUAAUAACGAAUUGCGCCCUACAUUGGCCAGUAAAAUCGACAAAUGAGUGUGCCCAGCACUGGUCAGUAUAACUGAAAAAUAAGUGCGCCCUGCGCUGGUCGGUAAAAUCGAAAAUUGAGUGUUCUCAGCACUAGUCGAUAUAACUAACAAAUAAGUACGCCCUCGUUGGUCGGUAAAAUCGACAAAUAAAUGUUCAUUUAUUCAAAACCAAUGUUUCAAUUUCAUUUUAACAUUUCACCAUUUUGUUCCAAAGACUAACUCUCUUUAUAUACUUGCUAAACAAAGUAACACACACACACACACACACAUAUAUAUAUAUAAGAACAAUAAUUGAAAUAGUCGCAUUAUAGAAACACCAACCUUCAAACAUUAUAACUGAACAUACAUAUAGCAUAGUUUAUAACAUUCACCCACUUUAUAAUAUUAUGACUACAAUAUCGAUGGACACUCGAAUAACAUUAAUAUUGUAAGAAUCGAAUAGUGUUAAAACAAUAGUAUUUGAACAAUCUUGAAUUACACUCAUUUAUCCUUUUCAAUGAAACGAUAAUAUAACGGAAAAAUCAAGUAAAGCAUUAAAUUGGCAUGAAGCAUAUCAAAUAUAACCAGCUUUGAAAAAACACUUAUUCACCUAUAAUAUCAGCAUUAAGAUUAAGAUAAACACAUCUAAUUUAACAUAAACAUUAUAGAAAUGUCUAGCUUUGACAACACUUAAAACAUGCUUUGGAUGACAUUUAAAACAUAUUUUGGACAACAUUUAAAUCUUACUUUAAUAGCAUUUGAAACAUACUUUUGUCAUCAUUUAAAUUAUACCAAAUGUUAUAAAGAUACAAACAUGCUUCUACUCAAUUUGAAUCCGAUUAAUAUAUAUAAAUCAACCCUAUAUAAUUACUUCAAGAUAAAUCAAUUCUUUCUUAGCAUUGGACUGUAGCAAUAAUAAUAUAAAAUAUCAUAACAUACAAAAUUUAAUAAACAUAAAACCAAUAACUUGUUCACCAUAAACUUCAAGCUAUUCAUAUGGUAAUCAUUUAAUUCAUAUUUUUCAAUUAAAUCCUUUGAUGCCAAAAACAUUAUAUAAAUAACAAUUCAAAUAUUAAGCAAAACAAUAUAAUAAAAAUUGUAUAUUAAUUAAUAAAAUAAGUCUCAUAUGAACUUACCUGACAAAAACGCCAAGGACAAAUCCGCCAAUUAGUUCAAAUCUCGAUCUAUAUAAUAAUUUAUUCCAAUUAUCAGUCUCAAGUGUUCUAUAACAUUUAAUAUAAUGCAUAUUUCUUGCUAUUAAUAUUUUCAAAAUUUCCUUAAAAUUUUUUAUUUUAUUCAAUUUAAUCUUUAAAAUUGAAACAAGCUUAACUUUCAUAUUUGAGCUAAACCCGUUUCAAUUUCAUCGUUCAACAGUCCUCUAUUAUCAAUAAUUACAUAAAUUUCAUAUCAAUUUUGAUAUACUCACGAUUUAGUCAUUAUGUUCAAGAUUAACAAUUUUUACUUUACGAAUUAGUUAUUUUUCAUAUCUAAACUUAAAAGUUAACUAUUUAACACCAAAACUUCAAACAUUCAACUAAAGUAACACCCUCAAAUUUUAACAAUAAAUUUUUUUUUUCACAUGGGUUAAUUAACUUAAAGUACCAUAAUUCUAAAAACAUAAAAAUUAUGAAAAAAGAACUAAACUGAACUAACCAAAUUUAGCUCAAAACAUUUGAACUCGUGGCCGUGCGUUAUUCUUUUCUUCCCUGCACCGAGCUUGGAAGAUGAAAGAAAUAGGAAAUGUUUUCUUUCAUCUCCAACCACUGCCACUAUAUAUAUAAUCUAAUAUUAUUCUAUUACUUCAUUUAUGUUAUGAAUAUCUUAUUAAGUAAAUAUCCAUAAUGAUCAAGAUAAAAUUUUAAUGUACUUUAAAUUCUAAUAGUUAUAAGAAUUAGAUCUCUACUUCUUUUAUACUUCUUAUGCCUAUAAAUAGAGACUCUGAUGAAACAUUGUAAUCACCCCUUUUGAUCAAUAAAGUACAUCCUCUAUUGCUUUCAUAUUUUCUUUGCUCUUUAUUUUAUAACAAUUUAUUAUUAUUUCUUCUUUUCUCUUUUUCUUUCUUUUUUCUUUUUAUAAUACUUCUUUACAAUAUAUAUUAUAUACUGAUCAUGCUAAACGGCCAUACAAUUAAAACUUAGUGGAUAAUUGCCCAUUUAGUCCCUCCUAUUUAUUUCUAAUUAUAAUUCUUUUAUAAAUUACACUUUUAGCUCAUAUGCAGUUUAGUUAUUGUGCUUAAUUUAAGCACUAUGUAUACGAAAUUACUUAUUCAAGAUUCAAUUAGCCUACAAAUUAACUCCGUAAAUAUUUAUAAAUAUUAUUUAUGAGCUUGGUUUACGGAAACAGGAUCCUGAAACCUCAAUUUCCAAAAUCGCUAACUCAAGAACCGAUGCACUUAUACUUUCAAUAAUUGUCCAAUUAGUAAAUUUAUCCGAUCAAAAUUUAAUAUAAAAUUAUAAUUAACUCGUAAAUAUUAUUUAAUAAUAUCUACUGACUUAGUUUAUGGAAACGGGAUCCCAGAAUUGUAAUUUUCAACUCCACCGACUUUAGUAUUAUUACACUUAUACAUUAGUUUACUAUCAAUUAAGCAAAAUUACUAGGCCAACUUUAAUAUGUUUCUAUACUAGUCUCAUAAAUAUUAAAUAUUAAUAUCUAGGAACACAUUUUGCGAAAAUGACAUUUCAGAACUGUAAUUUUUUUUAUACCACUGGAAACCGGGUCGUUACAAGAACAGGGAAACCCAAAUCCAUUCUGACAUUGUCCUACAAAAACUAAUAUAUCUCAAAAUAUACAAUUCCAUUUGUUACACUGUUUCUUCCAUACGAAACUAGACUCAGUAAGUUUUAAUUAAAUAUUUCAACCUAUAAAUAGAUUUCUAUGAUUAUUGGUGAAUUUUCAAAGUUAAACCAUUGUUGCUGUCCAAACUAUUUUAAUGAAAGUAUUUUCUUUUCCAUGGUUCUUUGAACUGUCAUUCAUUCAAUCAUACAUAAUCAUCAUACUUUUGAUUACUAUUCAAUUUAAUCACUUAUGUUUAUGUGUAGAUUACAUAUUCAUUUCUUAGUCUUAGUACUUUUCACAAUACAAUCACAUUUUCUCUUGCUUACUAAUUUAGUAUUUUAAAUAUCUAUACUUCAUCAAAUACUUUCUAUUUCUAGUAUUUAGAUUAAAAUACAUAUUUCAUACAUCUCAUUCACAACAUAUUUAACUCAACCUAUUGAAAUACAAGUAGGCUUAGCAUGAAACUUACCUCAUUUGUUUAGAAUUUCUUCCUUUCUUCUUCAUUUCCAUUCCUUUCUCAUCUUCACCACUAUCCUUCCAUUUUCUUCUCAUUUUCUUCACUUUCAUCUACUAUCUUCUUACUUCUAAAUUAUUGAACGUAUGCUCUAGAAUCUCUACUUCAUCUUUUCUCUUCGGUGUCUAAGGAAAUUUUCAAGAAUUUUGGGUGAAAAUGUAAGUUUUCAUAAUAAAGGACCAAAUUGUAAGAAAAAUAAAACAUUCUCAUUUCUAGCUCUCUCUCACGUUGGAGCAUAGAAGGAUGGUGAGUUCUCUUCAUCUUUCCUCCUUUUUUAUAUUAACAUUUCAUAAUAAAAUAUUAAUAAAAAAUUUAAUUAUAAUAUUAAUAUUAUAAUAUUUAUCUAAUUAUUUAAUUUAAAUAUCAUUAAAAUAUCUCUCAUGUCAUCAUUACAUUUUAGAAUUCUCUCUCAUUCUAAUUGAUCAAUUUUCCCUUUACAAUUCUUAAAAAUUUAAUCAUUGAAUCAUCAUUUAAUUUAGUAAAAUUACGAUAUAAUCCCUCAUAAUUUUCCAUUUAUUCAAUUUAGUCCUUAUUCAUCAAAUUUUCUUAUUUUCUAGACUUUUCCACCAUUAAGAUAUUCUCACUAUUAGCCCUUUAAAUUUUUCAUAUUUAUAUUUUAAAACCUCACAUGUUAAAUAUUUACACUUAAAUCAUAAAUCUUUUUAUAUCUUUACGAUUUAGUCCUUAUUUUAAUUUAGUAUACCACAACAUAUUUCUCAAGUUUAUUACUGCUUUUAUAGUGCAACGAUUUUGGGGGUGUUACAAUGUUUCUAAAUUAUCUUUAACGAAAUCAAUUCAAAUAAUUCAUAUUUAAUAAUUGUUUAUGAAACUUAAAUUUCUUUUGAUUGUAUAAUCUUAAAUAUUUCAUGCUAAGCUAAAAGUAAGGAAAAAUCCUUACAAUUAAUCAGAAGUGAUGAAAAUAUUUUUGGGUUUUGUUUAGCAUGAGAGAUAAAACUAAUUAAUUUAAUUAAUUGCAAUAAUUUUUUUAGCUUAGCAAGGAAAAUUUAAAAACAUAUAAUCAAAAGAAAUUUGGAUUUCAUAAACAAUUAUUAAAGACGAGUUAUUGGGUUUAAUUUUAAUUUAAAAACAUAAAAUAAAAUUAUAAAAUUUAGAAAGAAAUUAAAUGAAAUUAAUUAAUUAAUUUCAAUAUCAUACUAACAAAUUGACUAACACUAUCAAAAGAUAUUCUUUUAACAAUUUAUUUAAUUGAUUUUGAUAUUUUAAAAUUUAAAAUUUCAAUAUGACAUACUUUAAUGCAUCAAGUUUUAAACUUUCAACAAAGAGAUAAACACGUGCAAUAUGGCAUACUUUUUAAUGCAUCAUUUUAGUAUUUACAACUUUUAACUUAAUUCGUAACUUUUUUUUUUACUUGGAUUAAUACUUACAAAAAAAGAUUUUCUUUAGGUGGUCAAAAUAAAAGUAACCUAAAAAUUGAGUGAGUGACCAAAAUGAAAGUAUGAAUAUGACAUGAAUAUAAUUUGAUAUGUAUAAUCAACCGUUAUUAAAGAUUCAAUGUUUGAGUAACUAAAAUAAAAAUACCCUAAAAAUUAAGUGAUGAAAACCCUAAAAACUAACUCUUGAUUUGUAACUAAGGCAAGAAAAGUGAGGGAUAAUAUGUAUCCUUGCUUUCCCUUUAAAACUCAAUUUUUAAUUCGCCCAAAUUUGGGGAAAGCCGAGGGAUUCAACAAAAUAAAUUUAUUUGCCAUAUUUUUCUUUUCAAAAUAAAUUACAAAAUUUCGUUAUAAAUUACUGCAUUCUUGCUCUGUUUUCCUUUCAGCUAUUUUUUCCCUUGUAUCGUUUAGCACAACAAAAAUGAUGAAUUCUUUUAUUCAUUUUAACCAUCUAAACAUCAUUUACUUCCUUAGUUUUAGUUUGUUUUGUCUUCUUUUCCUUUUCCUUCUUUUAUUACUUUAAAAAACAACCAUUAAAGUUAAGUAAUAUAAUAAAGGUCUUUCCUACUUUAACCAGUGAUCGAGCAUUCAAUCUUCACUCUGAUUAUGAAGCAAUAAAACUCGUGACCAACAACCGCCCCUUAAUUAUUCAAGUAUGUAUUCAGUCACAAUAUUGAAUAGACAACGAAAUGAAACAAAAAAGAAGUGAAAAUUUUUGUUGCACACAAUCGUUUAUUAAUACAAUUUGAAAAUAAUUUUAUUCUGCAAAGUAUCUGUAAGGCCCAAAUUUUGCCAGGGGCCCAAAAACCAAAUAAAACAAUUACAAAACCCAUUACCCAGUUGCAAGCCCAAUAAGCCCAAUAAACAUAAAAACUUAGCCCACAAAAUAUUUUUUGCUAAACAAGUAAAAAACCCUAGCCCCAAGCAUGUGGCCGCGGAACCAUCGGCCUCCCCACGCGUGCUCGGCCACCACGCCUCUGUCAUCUCCACUCCGCACGCCUCUAAGGGUCAUCUGACACCUGCAAAAUGAAGCAGACACCAAGACAGAAGCAGACAAACGAAAAUGACAAAAAUAAAUAAGAUUUUCCUACUAUUGUAACCGGCUAUAAAGCCGAGAAGAAACGAAUGUAUUAAGGGGGUUUUUUUUUCCAAAUUUAAAAAAAGCGGUUUUUUCGAAUUCAAAAAGGGGGGAACUGAUUGUGAAUGGGGGGAUUCUUGAAUAUUCAAAAAAUCAAUACAAAAAAGGUCCCAUAGAAAUCAAAAUACAAAAAAUAGUAAAAAGGUUGUUCCUUUUUCUUGAUUAUUUUGCUUUCAUGCUUGUUUUGUUAGGAAAAAAGAAAAUAAAAAGAAAAGAGAAGAAAAAAAACAUUACCUUUCUUAAGAUUGGAGGAGGAAACCGAGGGUUUAUUGUCUGUUGUUUUAUUUUUUAAGAGUUUUGGGUUUUAAAACGAGGUAGGGAGAGCCAAAUCGGCCGAAAAAAGGGUGACUUCGGAACGUCAGCCACCGUAUACGGUGGCGGUCUGACGACGGCGGUGAAAUGGGUUCCUUUUGAAACCCUAGCAGAUCUAAAAAUGAAGAAAUGGUGGGGGGAACAGCUGCUGUUCGUUUCUGGAAAAGAAAGAAAAUGAAAGAUUCCUUUUUUUAAAAAAAAAUUGACCCUUUUAUACAUUAACUAAAACAACGGCGUUUGGGUAAGAGGAAAGGGUCCAUGCGCCUAAAAUGGAUAAUUUUUGUAGCUAGUCCCUUGGACUUUUCUGGGUUUUCAUUCUAAUCCCAUUUUCCUUUUUAUUUUUCUUCAAAUUUUCCUCUUUAAUUUUAUUUCAUUUUUAAUUUAACCCAGGGCCUUGUUAGUCAAAACGCAACGCAAAAAGACUAGGGAUAUUAUCCCGUUUAGUCCCUGCUAGUUUCAGCGCACCACAAUUUGGUCCUUUAACUUUAUUUUAUUUCUAUUUUUACCCCAAAACCCCAUUUGACUUUCAAAUUAGUCCAUUUUUGUUUGUUUACUCACUCAUUCAUCUGCUUAUUUGUUUAUAAAUAUAUUUUUCCAUUAUUCUUUUGUUUUACUUGUUCAUUUAUUUAUUGGUGAAUAUUAUUCGUUUAUAUUAUUGGAAUCAUUAAUUCAUAAUUCUUUUAUUUCUUUUCAAUUUUAUUUACUUUUGUUAUCUUUUAUUAUUUUAUUAUUUAUUCAUCUAUCAUUCAUUUUUUUAUAUCUAUAUUUUCUUUCAUUAAUUACUCAUUUUAUUUAUCAUCAUCAUCAUUAUUGAUAUUAUUAUUAUUAUUAUUAUUAUUAUUAUUGUUACUUUUGUCAUUAUUGUAUUAUUACUAUUGGAAUUAUAUUUAUACUCAUGUUUACUUUAUUAUUCUGACAUUAUCAUCAUUUCUCUAAUUUUAUUUAUUUAUGUUUCUAUUACAUUUCCAUUCAUUAUACUUCUAUCUAUAUUUAUAUAUUAAUGUUACUUUUAUUUUUUUUUUACGUAUUUUAUUCUUGUUAUUAUCAUUUUAUUUAUUUAUAUCCUUUACAUAGUUUUCUUUUAAACUACAGAUUUUUUUAUUAUAUCGUUAAUAUUAUUUUUUAUCUAAUCUUUAAAAUGAGCUUUAUUUAUUUUCAUCGUUUCCUAUUAUUGUCAUUUUACUAUUUAUUUAUUUAUUUUAUAUUUUUACAUACAUACCUUCUAUUUUAAAUUAUUGUAUAUAUAUAACAUAUUUUAAAUUUGCUUAAGUGUUAACCGUUUUCAAAUUCCUUUUAUUGUUGUUCGUUUCGAACUUUCUAUGUGUUACUUAUUUUAAAACUUUUAUAUAUAUAUAUAUCUCACUUUGGAUUAUGUUUAUCUAUUUUUGUUUAAACUGUUUUUGUAUAUUAUUAUUAUUAGUAUUAUUUUUAAAUUUCUCUUUCACAUAUUAUUUAUUUCAAACCCUUUUAUAUGUUUUAAAGGGUCCUUUUAUUUUACCUUAUGUAUUAUUUUAAUUCAUUUAACAUAUUAUUUAUUUGAAAUUUACCUUAUAUAUUAUUUUAUCCCAAAUUGUUUAUAUUUUAUUUAUGUUGAAUUUUUUUCACAUAUAGUUCUUCUUGAACCGUUCUUUGGCAUGAUGUGUUUUGAAUCUUAAUCACUACAUUUUUAUUUAUUUGAAACUUUUAUCCUAUUUACCUUAAAUCAUUUUUUGUAUAUUAUUUUACUUCGUUUGUUUUUGCCUAUUGGUUGGUAUAAAAAUAAUAUACAUUGUGAAUAUGAUCAUUACAUGCAUUAGAAAUUAUUUAUUGACAUCUUCAUAUUGGGGCAUUCAUUAAUAUUGUAUCUAAUUCAUGUUUCAUUAUUCCAUGCGCCAUUUUACACUCUUGUUUAUCUAGUUCAAAUCAUAUCGUGUAUUAAGUUCUAACGUUUUACUCAAUAUGGAUCGUUCGAUUUUUAUUCCAAACAAAAUAAAUACACAUCAUUUUAAAUUGCAUAUUUGCUAUUAUUUCAUAAAAGGAAAAUUCUCAAAUAAAAACAAUAUUCGGUAUUCGAAAUUCAGGGAAACGUGCCCUAACUUAUUGAGUUUCGAUUUUCCUCGUUCAUCCUAAUUAACCGAAUAUCCUUUUAAAAGAAGUUAAAAUACAUUAAUUUUAAAUAAAAGGCAAGCUCAGUCCCAAAGUUCGAGUUGUCGUGUCCUGACUUACUGGACAUGAUAUUUUAUUACCUUGAGAUGAGAGAGUCCUUAACAUCCAUUUCAAUUUAUUCAAUCAUUUUUUUUUAAAAUUAGCAUUAAUACAAAGAGGGAUCGUAUUUUAAAUUCUAUCAAGUUUUCAAAUUUUCGACACUAAGACACUAAUUAAUCAACUAGGUACCAAUUUUGGGCGUAUCGAGGGUGCUAACCCUUCCUCAUGCGUAACCGACUCCCGAACUCGUUUUUUGAUUUUCGUAAACCAAAAAUUAUCGUUUUAGUAAAGCUUAAAUUUUAUUAAAAUGAUUAAUUUAAGAUGACCCAAUCAUAUCUCAUCAAAAAGAAUUGGUGGCGACUCCCGUUUUAAUUUUCACUUUCAAAACCAAAGUCGAUCCCUGUUUAAAAAAAAAUGGUUACGACAGUAUCACUCAAUGAAUAAACUUAUUUAAGAAUCUUUCAAAUUACAUAUUAGCUUAAGCCCUAUCUACCUUUGCAUAAAAAAAUAAUUCCAACACUGGCACUAAUCCUAACAUCAAGUAUAAACCCCCCAGUAAAAAAAUACACAUAAAAGAUACUCCAAGUUUAAAUGUGCAGCAUAACAACCAAUUAAGCUAACAUUUAUAAUCUAAAUAUAACAUUUUAAAUAUAAUUAUCCUAUAUUCAAUUUUAUCUCUUUAAAAACUAGUCAAAAAUCACGACUACAAAAUAAUCUUCAUAACUAUAAGACAUUCUAUAAACCCAGGAAAAUCAAAAAUUUUAUUAAUUAAAUGACUGGUAUGAGGAGCUUCCACCCUAACAUUAAAGAAAUAAAUAAUUAAUAUGCUACAACCCAAUAAGAUGAUAACCAUAUUACUACAUUUAUAUAGUUUGCGUUAUGCACACGACUCUAAUUGGACCAAAUUCCACCUUCUGUGCUGUAGUGACUCAAUCAUUUUAAAACAUUUUUAUCUUCUAAAAUAUAACUAUUUUCCUCUUUUAUUAAAUUUAAAAAUACACCAUAUUUUGAAGCAGUACUAAGUUCUAACCUCAUCUCUUAAAAAAAAUUUAUAUAUUUAAUUUUCUCAUAAUAUAAAAUUGGGCUUCAAUCUAAUUUUUUUUCCCAAUUACCAAGACCAUCAUCCAAAAUUUCAAUCGAGUUCACCCUAGCCGAACCAAUAAUUCGACAUAUCAAUCUAAUCAAUAAAGUAACUCAUAUUUGGAAAAUGACUGCAACAAACCCAAAAUAGAAAAUUCCUACCUAAAAUAUCAGCUAAACAGGAUCUUAAUAAUCUGGGUUACAAAUUUGGCAUUAAUUAGCAUUAUAAAAUAUUAGGAUUUUCUUUUUACCAGAAUUAGAGAAUGGAAAGCGUCUUGGAAUGCCUGCAAAUAAUCUUAACAUAAACUUGCUACAAUAGUACCUGAACUCUUGCUGCUUGUUGGCAUUAUAUUAAUUUAUGGAAACACAUUGAUUGACAGGAUAAGAGAAUAUUAUUGUCCAUGUUUUCAAAGAAUGCUCUCUCAUGUACCAUAUAGACAGUGAUGAACAAUCAAAUGAGAACCAGUUCUAAAAAAAUCAUAUAACUUCAUAGCAAAGAAUGUAAUUCCCCCCCCCCCCCCCCCCAAGUGCUUCUACACUUACUACAAUGAAACUAAUGAAGAAAGAAGAACAUAAAUGAGUUCUAUCUACAAUGAACCAUUUGUUAUUUACACUUCUAAAUAAUAAGCUGAUCAACGUUGAUGCUGUGGAUCAUAAGAAACAAUCUUUGGAUCUGGAACAAUCUGCGGCAACUUAUCAAUAUACAUGAAAAGACGCUUCAUAUUAUCCCUCGAGAUUGAAGCUAAAUCAACAAUGUCAUUUUUGCUUGUAUAUAUCCAAAGAUCACCCGAAUCCACUCUUUUCAAGCUGUCCCUACAGAAGGGGCAUGACUGUGACCUUAUUCGCCUAUAAAACACCAUAAAAACACAAAUAUUAUCUUCAACAUAAUAUGCCUAUCUUCAAUCUAUGUUUUGACAAGAGAAGAGCUUGAACAUCGAGAUGCUAAGCUUUUCUUCAUAAUAUGUUUGUAUAUGUUUCUUGAAGUCUAGCUAUAUCCAAGGUGCGGGACUCAACUUCGGGUAGCUUACUUUAACCUCUAUCAUUCCCACCAUGCUAAAUUACUUGAUAAUCAAAAAGGAAACGAAAAAAAAGAAGACCAGUUUCGAUGACGGCUUACCAGGUUCGGUAGCAUUUCAUACACAUUGAAUGGUUGCAUGCGGGCAACACAAUCUUGCUGCGCAUCUCCAUGCAAAUCCCACAUUCUUCUUCCCUCUCUAAGUCGAUUUCGGAGACCUUUCCUUUAUUCAGUUCAUCUCUUUUCGUGAACUUUGAAGCGCAAAUUUCCUUCUGUUUCCUGUCAUCCACAUCCGUAAUUCCUCGAGAUAGUUGCAAUAACGAGGGAAAGAUCACCCCUGUCAUGACAAUCCAAAGUCCAAAGCGCUCAAAUAGUGUUAACAUUUUUUCAAAAAUUAUGAUAAAUAUGAAUCAAACUUAUGCACAACAACAACAACAAAUCCCCUCUUACACACCAUAGAAUUCUCUUAUGCUAGCUUUCCUUUCAUGAAUAGACAUGGUGGUUUUACCAUCAGCAUACGCCUUCAGAAAAAGAAACAUCACAAAAUUAACGUCCUUGAAAUUCUAUAAGUUUAGAAUAUGACAAGAACAUCAGAAAUUCAUUACACAAGCACUUGCAAAUCACCUUGUAUAUAAGAAUCCUGAGAAACCCCAAGGCACCAGCAAGAUGACAAUCAGUCCACUGAACAAGGAAAAGGAAGAAAUGUGCAACUGGACUGUAAGAUAAUCUCAUCUGAAGGCAGGCACCAUCAUAUUCUCUUGGAUAAUCAGAAGCCCUAAUCAUUCAAAAAAAAAUAAUAACGUGUAGUAUAAUGUAGUCCCUAUCAUCUACUAAUCAAUGCAGAUAUACAUGUAGAACAGAUCAAACGACUAUAGACAAGUAAUUAAGCUACAUAAAAGGAAGAAGGACCCCCAAAUCCUCUAAAUGGAAGUUCUAGACUCAUUAGUCUCAUCCAAGUCAUUCAGUAUCCUCUGUUUUCCCUUUUCUGGCGAGGCUUUUUUUGUGGUAAAAACACUAUUUUCAAACUUCAAAUUCUGUAAGUAUUUUCCUUUUAGGAUAAGUUUAAACAUAUAUAACCAAAAUAUCUUAAAAGCUUGAAGAAGAAAAAAGAACAACAAUUAUUUUUCAUUACUGUAGGAGCCAUUAUUAAUAUUCAAUAUAGAACCAUCUAAUUAAGCAAUGAAUAUCCAAAAUAUCUAAAAAGCUUAAAGAAGAAAAAAGAACAAUAGUCACUUUUCAUUACUGUAGGAGCCAUUAUUAAUAUUCAAUACAGAACCAUCUAUUAAGCAACGAACAUCCAAUAUAAACACCAAAAAUUACCAAUAACAAUUCCAAUUAAGCAAAAAAAAAAAAAAAAAAGAAAUAUUCAACAUGGAACCAUAGGCAGGAUGAAAACUAUCAAUCUGAAAUUUUAUAGUCCCCCAAAGUAAGAAAACGUUAAUUUACCGAAUAAAAAGAAUUCAAAUAAUAGGUUAUAGCGAAAUAUAAGAAACAGUAUCACGCAUUGCAUACUUUGAAAGAAAAUCAGAAAGGAAGUAUAUAUUAAAAAUUCAAAGAAAAAAAAGGGAAAAUCAUGAUGAAUCGGUACUGGCCAUGCUCAUCUACAGAAAAUCAAGGAAGAGAAAAAGAAAGAAGAAAUUACAGGGUAUUGGCGAACUGAAUAUCAGCUUCAAGUGCCUUGAGAGAAUCCUUGAACGAUUUCCUCAUCUCCCCUGUCUCUGUUUUCUUUUUCUUACUCAAAAACUCUAACUGAUUCAGAGCUCAAAAUCCAAAACCCCAACCACCCAUUCAGCACAAACAACUAUUCAAGGCAUCAUCAUAUUAUAUAAUCAACAAAAAUACUAGGAAAAGAAAAGAAAUCUUCUUUCGUCUUUCAAUUAAAAAGAAAAAAGCAGACCCAGUAAUUAACUUAGAAUCCUCUGUAUAAACAAAAACUCACUGUGUACAAUUGAGAAGAAGGUGAAGAGUGUGAGAAAUUGCAAUAGCAAUAGCAAUAACAAUAAAUUAAAAUAAAAUAAAAUAAAAUAAAUCUUUUGAGCUUUCGCUUAGAGCACACGUAAUUGUAUUUCCACGUAUCUCUCAGCAGUCAGUCAGGCAGCAAUAUAAAUUUUAAUUAAACGGGGAAUUUUAUCCUCAAAUUUACGAAAGUACCCUUAUUGUUUGGGUCGAUAUUUUUUUUCCCCCCUUUAUACCAGGUCACCCAGUUAGUGUCACUGCCAAACUACGCUAGUUAGUUUUUGGGUGGGGAGGGUGUAGGAAGGAAUUAUGUGCACCCAACUGUAAAAAGCGGAGGGAGUAGAUGAUGGCGGGAAGCAGUAGAUGACACGUGGAGAGCAUGCAUGAUUUGACCUAACGGUCCAUGAUGGGGUGUAUGGUUAUCGGGUGCCACGUUUCCUGAUUGGUGAAUACAUGGAUCCCACCUGUUCGCUUUUCAUGCAACUGCCUAAUUUGGAAAAAAAAAUUCUUCCUACUUUUAUUAAUAAAAUAAAGUUGUAUUUAAUAUAUAAAAAAGAUGUAUCUCGAAUACAGUCGAAGUUUACUACAAGUAUUUGUACACUAUCUAAUAGUUGAUAUUUUAAUUAAUUAAAAAAAAUAUUCAAUUUUCAAGAUUAUUAUCUAAAUUUAAUUUAAUUUAAUAUUUGACGAAAAUAUUAAAUAUUUUAUGAUAUCAAUAAAUAUUGGGUAUAAUAGAAUUUAUUGAUUAAAAAAAUGUUGAAUUUUCAUAAUUAAUCAAUUAGGUUGAUGUAUCAUUAAAUGAGAAAGUGAGAAAAUCAAGAUACCCUAAUAUAAUUAUUAAACCCACACAAGUGUUCUUCCUCAUGUCAUAAACCUAAAACAAGAUUUUGUUGAAGAUUAAAGAAAAAUUUUGGUGUCCAUAAUUUCGCCUUUAUUAGCCAUGAAGAAAAAGUAUAAGAAGAAAAGUUUAGCAAAAAAGGCAAGCAAAAGCUACCUUUUGUCGCCACAAAUGUUAAUUAAUUAGGUGCUAAUACUAAUCCCAAACCUCAUCAAGUGCAAACAUUCCAUUUUGAUUUUGUUUAAAUUACGGGGAAUAUAAAAGAAAUUAAAAUUUGAAUAAAUACUAAAAUAGUAUUAAUAAAGAAUGUAUAGCUUCACAUGAUUCCGUGACCAAAUUCACAAGAAGAUAAUAUAAAAUAUUUUCAUGGCUGUUUUGUUUUUUAUGUUCAUAUUUUCCUCGCUUCAAUUCAAAUCAUAAAUUGUAUAACACACACAAAAGAAAGGAUUAAAGUUUAAUUCUGUCCUCAGUUUAUGAACUUUUCAAACUUUCUAAUUUAGUCCAUUUCUUUUAAUUUAAAAUUUAGUACAAUCAAUUUUGAAUUAAAAGUAAAAAAGGGACUUUAAUAGACCAAAAGUAAAAAUAUUAUGGCCAAGUCGGUAAUCGGUAUAAAGAAAAUAAGACGGCAGACAAAAUCGAUUUUGAAGGUAAAAUUAUAUUUGCAAAUAAAAGCAUUUAUUCCAUUCUAAUUGGUGGCUAGUUAAGUUAAACACAAAUAAUAUUAAGGAAAGCGUGGCUAAAGGUGGAAAAAUUGGCCCCGAAUCACCAAAAUAAACAAUUCUAGACUAUAUUUGGUACAUUGUCAUCAUUAUUUGUUCUGAUAAGGACACCCCAACCUCUAAUUAAUGAUCCCACCAAACCCAGUAUAUCUAACCCCAUGUCCCAAGCAAAGCAGCCAUUUCGACCUACUAAAACAAAACUAUAUAUCUAGAUGUUGAUCAAAGCAGAAUGGUGAUAAUUCAUGUAUUAAAAAUUGUGGAUAAAAUUAUAAUGGUGCAUUUGUAUGCAUGGCACAACAAGAUCCAACGGGGGCUGCCAUCUUUAAGUCAUCACAUCUAGAAGUGUGUAGACAACUCAUUGAUACCAACAUUUAGUAUAUUGUUGAAAAAGAGUGUUAAGAAAGAUGGUGUGAAACACAGUAGCAUCAAGGACAAAAGUGUAGUGAUUUUCAUGUUAAUAGGAUGAGAUCCUAUCACUCAACCUACACAUAAUUUGCGUGGUUAGACAUAGAAUGCUUUUGACAAUACAGCACUGCAGAUGGAAUAAUAUAUGAUUGUUGCCGCAUAAAAACGAUCCUUCAACUUCAAGGCGCUCGUAGUUUUGCUUCGAUCAUUGCCUGAUAGCUCAACUUGCAUGUCUGUUUUCACCACUUGUACCCAUUUUCAAGCAUUACAGGGGCAGCUCUGGCUCCUGCUCUGAAACAUGGUGUUUUGAUCAUCGUAAUUUCAGCAUUAAAUAGGACAUUCGUCAAAUUUUAUACUAUUACAAUGCGUAUCUCCAAUAGUAGGAGAUACACAACCACUUAAAUGAAACGAAACUCUAAUUCGUAGUAAUGAGUGACUUUCAGCAAAGCAAAUGAAAAUAAUACAUAUGACUAAUAAGAGGUUAGGUACAAUGAUAAAACACAUUAUAUUUUGAAAGAAAAGAUGCAGGUUUGAAUUUUAGAAAUAAUUACUUUUACAAAAAAGAAAUUAUUAUUUUUCUUAAUAAUUUCAAAAUUAUACUAGUAUGGUUUUUUUUUUAAAUUACAGGUUGAGUUUCAUACUAAGCUAUACAUUUGAUUUAGUCUAUUGAGUUAAAAUAAUUUUUUCUUGUGCUCGAAUACAAAGCUUGUUUCAGCUGUUAAUCUGUUUAUUCGGAUCUUAAGUCUUGCUCUAUUGAUGCAUUUAAGAAUUGAGAUCUAUAACAAUGCAUCUUGCUUUGCACAGUCAUCUCCUUUGAUUCUACAAUGGUGGUGUUUAGGGGUGAGUAAAACUCGAUUCGAUUUGAAAAAAUUGAAAAAAAUUUAAAAUUUCGAAUUAAUCGAAUCGAGCUAUUCGAAUUAUUCAAGUCAACUCGAAUGACUCUAUUCGAGUUUCAAGUUCGAGUUGAGUUGGAUCUCACAAUUCGAAUAAUUUGAAUAACAGAUUAGUGAAAAUACCCUUUUAGUCCCUGUCAACUUUGAAAGUAAGCAAAUUGGUCUCUCUUUCAACAAAAAUUACAAAAAAAUUCAAAAAUUCAAAAUAUUUAUAAAAAAUUCAAAAUUUAUAUUUUAAAAAAUUUCUAAAAAUUCUAAAAAAUAUAUAUACAAAAUUUAAAAUUUUCAAAUUUUAAAAAUAUUCUAAAAUAGUAAUUUGGGACCUAAUUAAUUAUUCAAAUUUAUUAUACUCAAUUUUUUUGAAAUUUUUUUAAAUCUAUAUGGUUUCAAAUUUAUAUACUCUAACAUGGAAUUAGUUAUACUAUAACAAUAUUUUUAUUUGAAAUAUUUAAUUUUUUUAAUUUAACUCGAACAAUUUCAUUCGAUUCAAAAAAAAUUCAAAUUGAGUUAGGAUUAUAAAAUAGGACUCGUGAACUCGAUUAACUCAAAUUUUUUUCACUCGAUUCGAUUUAACUCAAUUCGAUCGAACGCUCACUCCUAGUGGUGUUAACAUUAUGCACUUAGAAAAAGUUUAUAUUUGAUUGGGAUAUUUUAAAAUUUCAACUUUAGCUCUACAAGGUCGUUGGACUCGAAUCAGACCAAUUGAUUGUAUUAAUUAGGUUAGGAAUUGACCAGUACAUUAGUCUAGAGAAAGAUGUUGAAUUGCUUGAUUUGUUAAUCAGUAUAAAACACAUAAAUUGAUAAUUGCCUCGAUUUUUUUUAUUUUUAAUGAGUUUUUAAUAAUUUAUUUAAUUAAACCGAACCAACUAGACAAACCAAUGGUCUGACAUGAUUCAACCACCAAUUUGGUUACAAAAAACAUUAAGGGUGGGUUUGUUUCACUGAAAAUGACUUAUGUAAAAUGUUUUUUGUGUGUUUUAUAUGUUUGUUUCGUGGAAAACAACUUGAUUGUAACGACCCGAUAGUCAGGGGUGUCGAAAAGUGCAUUCCCGGGACUCCGUUCUCGUAAAACAGACUCGUAAAUAUUUACGAAGCUAGUUGUUUAAUUAAUUAGGUUUUGGUUAAGUGAAUUUGCUCGAAUUAAGAGUAAUUAGGUACAAAGACUAAAUUACAUAUAGAGUGAAAGUUGAAUUAUAGAUUAAAGAAUAAUUAAAGGGACUAAAAAUCAAUUUUACCAUUAUUCUUUAAGUGGAACGGUUAGUGAUAUUUAUAUAUAAUAUAUAAAUUUAAGUAAGUAUAUAUAUUAUAUAAUUAUAAUAAAACAAAAAGUAAUAAAAGAAAGAAAAAGAAAGAAAGCCAAACAAAAUUAGAAAGAAAAGAAAGGAAGAAAAAGAGAAAGAAAAAAAGAAAGAGAACCCACGGCCUAAGGUUUCAAAUUGUUCAAAGUUCAUUUGGUUAGUUAAUUUAGUCUAUUUUCUUAUAAUUUUUAUGUUUUUAGAAUCUCGGUGUUAAGUAUUACCCGAUCUAUGUUGAAAUUAUAGCAUUGAUUGAGUUUUUAAAUGUUGUUAAUGUUGAAUAAUUUUAGUAUUAGGGAUUAAAUUGAUAGAUUUUUAAGCUAGAAAUGAAAAAGGAUUAAAUUGUAGAAUAAAUUGUAAAAUUUGAGUAAUAAGCACUAAAUUGUGAAAAUUUUGGAAUUUAUGGGUUUAAGUGAAAAUAGGGAGUUAAAUUUAGUUUAAAGUGAAAUUUGUAUAAAAAAUAUAAGAUUAAUUGUAAAGAAAUAAACUUAGUCUCGAAUUAGGGACUAAAUUGAAAUUUAGGAAAAUAUUGAGUCAAAUUUGAAAUAUUCUAUAUGAAAUUGAAUUGUGUUAUACUACUGAAUUUUAAUUGUUUUAAUUCUGUAGCUAACGUCGUACCGAAAUCCUCGACUAAAAAAGGGAAGGAUAAAAUCGGCGUUGAGUAACUCGGAAUUCCUGAUUUGUAUUUCUAUAAUCCGAACUAAGUUGUAAAAUUAUUACAUUUUGAUUUCUUGUAUAUGCUAAGUAUUGGAGGUGAGAACUAUUGUGUUUUGCAAUUGAAAUGGAUUGAUUCGGUAUGUGAUGAAUUUAUUGAAUUUAUAUGAAUUGAAUUAGUAGAUACAUAUUGAAUGUAUCGAUUAUUGAAUUGAUAUAUUAUGAAUGUAUUGAUUAUUUGAAUUGAAAUGAAUAUAUAUAUGUGUGUGUGUGUGUGUGCGUGUACCUGUGAUAAUUGGAUAUUGGAUGUAUUUGGAAAGUGAAUUGGAACCUUAUUAACUGUAUUGGGCUGAGUCGAAUAUAAAUGGCAUGCCAUAGAAUAGGAAGAGUUCAGGGAUUUUUUUGACUUCGAGUCAAUGAGGCACUGGGUGCCAAUUUACUUCAGUUUAACUGAUGAGACACUAGAUGUCAAUUUAUAUAGCGCUGGGCGUAGUUACUACUUCGAAUUUAUUCGAUGAAGCACUAAGUGCCAAACUGGUGUGUUGGUUGGAUCCGUGUAUUCGUCCGAGUCGUGUUAAUAGGGGUAAAUAAAUAAUAAAGUUCUAUAAUUUAUUUUGAAAUGACAUGGUAUGAAAAAUGGAAGUGAUAUAGUGAAUUGAAAAUAAAAUGUGAAAUAUGUUGUAAAUACAUGGAAUACAUGAGUUAUAUACUCAUGAAUUGAAUAUGGAAUAGAUAGUGCCAUUGUUUAAAUGAUAUGUGGAUCAAAUUGUGAAAAGCUAUUAUAUGGCAAGUGAUGAGAAUUGAGUAUGGUAUAAAAUGAGGUAUUCAUAAAUUGAGUAUUGGAUGGUUAAUGCCAUUGUAUGAAUAAAUGUGGUUUGAUAUGCGAAUAACUAUUUAUAUAGCAAAUGUGUGAAUUGGGACAUUGUUUAACAAACGAAAUAUGAUAGUCAUGAUAUUAGACAUUAAUAUGUGCUUAUAAUUUAAUUGUGCAUAUUAAAUUAUCUUGUCUUUAUUGGAUUAUAGAAAUACCACUGAGUUUUACUCAGCGUACGGUUUUGUUUUUUCGUGCACAGGUUAGAUACUUCUCUUUUUGAUCGCCGAUUUAGCAUCCAACAAUGAUCCCAAACUCAAAUGUAGUGAUGUCUAUCUUUUGUGUCGGUUGUACCUAGGAUGUCUAAAUGUUAGUUAUUUUGUGGAUGAAUUGUAUAUGAGGUUAUAAGUGUAAUGUUGGCUUGGUAUAUACAUAUAUAAACAUGUGCUUGUGUUUGAAGCCAUAGUAUGGUAUGGUAAAUGGAACUAAAGCUUGGUAUGUGCAUGUGAAUUUAAGUUAAUGUUUUAGGUAUAUUAUACGAUAGGCCAAAUUGAUGGAUUUUGGUAUGUUUAUAAUUUGGAUUCGAAUGAUGCAUUGAUGAUAUGUUUUGGUGAUAUAAAUGUGGUACCAAUGAGGGUACAUUGGUUAGGCACCUAGGAUUAUUGUUUAGGCAUGUUUUGAAUGUGUUUGAUCAUGUUUUGAACAGGUUAAACAAAUGAUUUUUGAAUUGUUUAAUGCCCAAGCAUGUAGAAAAUGGUAAAUUUGUUGUUUAAGGCACAUUUUAGGUCCACACGACAAGACACACGGGUGUGUGACUUGGCCGUGUGAGACACACGGCUAGCACACGAAUGUGCGAGGCCAUUUCAAAAGGGUACACAGGCGUGUGGUUUGGCCGUGUGACCCAAGUCCGAGAGUUACACGGGCAUGUACACGGGCUGGGACACGAUCGUGUGUCCCUAUUUCAAAUGCCUACACGGCUUCAGACACGGGCGUUUCUGUAACUCCCCUAACCCGAAUCCAUCACCGGAAUAGAGUUACGGAGCAUUACCGGAGUUACCAAUUUAUUUAUUAGAUAUUUUAUUUCAUCUAACGUUCAUAUUUGGAACCAAUUAAAAUCAAUCAUAUUGUCCCUUAAACAUACUUAUUUUUCUCGACAUGUUUUACUUGAAUUUAUUACUCGUCUCAGUAUACUUAAUUUCCCUGUAUCAACGUAUCAAAGAUAAUCACAUAUUGACAUAUCAUGAUAAAUAUCAUUCUCUUGCCAUUUCUUUAUAAAUAUAAAUCAGGUAAUUCAUUAUAUCGAUAUUUCAUGCAUUUAAAAAUAAAAUUCUUACAAUUUAAUCCUUAUUUCCAGCCGUUAUUCUCAUACAAAUUGAUAACAACCUAUGUAUUCUAUAAAAUAUCAGAAUUUUUCAUAAUUUCAACACUUUUCAAUUUAAUCCUUAAAACAUGUUUUUCCCCGAUCUUGAACUAAAUUAAUAAUUUACUUCAAUUUUUCAAUUUUAAAUAAUAAAAUAAUCCACUUCAUGCAAAUUGGUCAUUUCUAACAUUUUUACAAAAUUGCCAAUAAAGUUUUAUUUUUAUUCAAUUUAGUCCAUGAGCCUAAAAUAUGCAAAUUAGUUAUGCUAGCUGAAUAUUCAUACAUAUUUUCCUCCUCCUCCUCUCCAUUCCACAUCCUUAAUUUAUAUAAUAUGCUUAUAAGUAACAUUAUCUAUAAUUUCACUAUUUACUUAUAUGUAUAUUCAAAGCUAUCCAUUUGAGUCAUAGUCACUAAAUUAUUUAUAUCUUGAGCUACAGAACUCCAAAUUAAGAUCUGUUAAUUUUACCUAAAACUAGACUCACAUGUCUUCUUACCAUAAAAUUUUCAAAAUUUUUUCUUUAUCCAAUUAGUACAGUUUAUUCAUUAAAGUCUCCCUUGUUUUGCUAUUUGACAGCCCUGACCACUCUUCACUAAAGUUUAAUUAUCUCUUUAAACAGAAUUCAAAUGAUGUUAUCAUUUGUUUAUUAUAAAAAUAUACUCAUUAAGAAAUCUAACCAUAUAAAUUAUGUCCCAAAAUUAUUUUUUUAUAAUUUUUAAUGAUUUUCCAACUCAGAACAAGGGAUCUCGAAAUCAUUCUAAACCAGUGUCACAAAAAUAUAAAUAUAUCAGAAUACAAAAAUAUAAAUAUAUCAGACUCAAUAAGCUUUAAUUUAAUAUUUCACUCAGCUCCUAAUUCAAUUUUUUCCAUUUUUGGUGAGUUUUAAAAGUUAGCCUAUUGCUGCUGUCCAAAACUACUUUAGUGCAACAUAUUGAUUACCAAGUUUAUAACACUCUUAUUUCCAUUCUCUACCAUAUUUCCCAUUAUUUUCUCUCACUUCCCUUCACUAAUAUAUCAAGAACAUGGAUCCUUAAAUAGGAAAACUCUACAUUAACAUCAUUUUCAUGCUUUUGAUAUUACCUUACAUGAGAAACUCUACUUAAAAUAUAUUGAAAUCUUAAAAUUCUUACCUUGUCCCAUUGAUUUUAAUCUUUAACUUGAUUUUUCUCUCUCCUCCAGCUUCUAUUUCUUGAAUCCAACUUAAUAUUCCAACUCCCCUUAGUCUCCUUAACAUUUUUCUCUCUUGGUAGCUAUGAAAAUUCUUUUGAUUUUUAGGUGAAAUGGGUGAAUUUUUGGUGGAAGGACUAAAUUGUAAAAAAAGCAAAACUUUCUUUCUUCUCUUUUCUUCUAACUUGAAAUGCAUGGAGAAAGAUGAAUAGUGUAUAUAUUUUUUCCACACACACACACACACGUAUAUAUAGACUAAAUAAAAUAAUAAAAUAAUAAAAUAUCUUAUUAAAAUAUUAAAUAAAUAAUAAUUAUUUAAUUAAAUAACUAUAAAAUAUCACCAACAUAAUCAUUACUUUCUAGAUUUCUCUCUCUUCCAAUUGACCAUUUUUCCCUUUGUGAUCUUUUAAAAUUUCAUUCUUGAGUCAUCACUUAAUUUGGUAAAAUUACAAUUUAGUCCCCCAUAAUUCUUCACCUAUUCAAUUUUGUCCUUAUUCAUCAAAUUUCCUUGGUUUCUAGAUCAUUCCACCCUUAAAAUAUUUUCACUAUUAGUCCUUCAACUUUUUCAUAUUUACACUUUAAUCCCUCAAAUUUUGAGUAUUUACUCUUGGGCUACAAAACUUUUCUCACUUUUACAAUUUAGUCCUUUCUUGAAUCAAUAUGUCAUAAUAUACUUCCCAGUGACAUAACUCAAUUUUCCUCUUCUUGUCACUUUAUUUCCUUAUUUUACUGUAUUAAGGAUAAUAUCUUACUGUAGAAAUUUUCAGGGUGUUACAGUUUCUCUUGGCUGUGUGAGUCACACGGCCUGGCCACAGGGCCGUGUGAACCCCGCAGCUUUGAAAAUUUUUAAUGUAUUCCAAAAAUUUCUCUGAGUUUCCGAAUUAGUCCUAGUACGAGGCAAAUGAAACCAUAAAGGAGUUACUUCUAUGCAAAUAUCUAUUACCAUUUUAUUAUCAUUUUGCCACUCAACAUAUUUGUAUCAGAGUUUAAAUAAUUUAUUAUAUUCAUACUAGCCACAUGCUCGUAUCUAAUGAACACAUUUUGUAGAUACCAGACUACAGUUACGAGCAUCCAUAGAUGGAGUGUUUUGAUGGGAAAUAGGUGCCAUGGUUGAAUGCAUUACAUUUGUGUUUUAACACAUUAAAUAUGAAAAUAAAUAUAAUAUUUAUCGUGUAGAUAUAAAAAAUUAAGGGUUAAUGGGAGAAAAGUUGUCAAAUUUAUGGACCAAUUUAUAUAUUAAGCCUUAAAAAAACUAAUAGCAUUAAUCAUAGGGACCAAUUUAUCUACAAUUACAAGCAUCCAUAAAUGGCGUGCUUUGAUGGAGAAAAGGUGUCAUGGUUGAAUGCAUUAUAUUUGUGUUUCAACACAUUAAAUAUGAAAAUAAAUAAAUAUAUAUAGUUCAAUAGUUUUUAGCUUAAAGCAUAAGUUGAGAGAAUACAAGAAAAAUAAUAAUAUUGAUUUUUGUCAACAAACAAGUAAUGGUUAAGGAAAUAUUUGGUGAAAAUCUGGAGCAUGAGUUUUCUGUAAAUUUUUAAAUCAGAUAAAAAUAUUGUUCAAUUAGAAAAUCUUCAAAUCAAUAAGUUUAUGAAAUUCAAUGUUGAUGUUCUUAAUAUUAUUUAGCUUGGUUUAACAUUCUUUAAUUCUGAAAGUAAAUUACUGAAUUUCAGAACUCCUUUUUGUUUUAUAUGAAAGUUUAGUUUUAAAGAUCUCAAUAUUGAAAAAGAUCGUUACGAUGAAGAGUCUAUUAAAUUACUUAAACAACAAGGUAUCGAUUUUACAAGAAAUAAGGAAAAAAGUAUCUAUUCGAGAGAUUUUGUCAUCAUGGUCUGAUUUUCGAGUUGGGUUUUGGAGAAAUGACUUGGAUAACUUUUCUUAGCGCUUAUGAUUUUGGGUUGAAGAUUUUGACUCAACAUCCAUUACUGUCUAAUCUCAAGUCUUUCAUGCGACAUUUGACUUAUUACUUCGGUUGCAAAAUUUUCGACAUUAAGUAUAGUUUCAAGAUCUUUAACUUACACAAUGGGCUAGAAAAGGUGGCAAAAACUUCAAACGUGACUCGUGUUGCUGGAUUAAGCCAUCAAGCAGGAUCCAAUAGUCUUCUCAUCCUUCGUUGUUUUAUGCAUAUUAAGAAUAUGAAAGCUUUUCAACAAUGUAAUCACAAGUUACCUACCUUCGCAUUGAGUGUACUGGUUUGAGUUAACAGUAAAAUUUUUAUUAGUUAUUAUUUUUUUCUCAUAUUGUAUAAAUUCGAUAAUUUAUAUUAAAGUUAUAUUAUUUUCAAAAUUUUGAUAGAUUUGUUAAUUUCUUUUAUUGAAGUUACAUAAUUUAUCCUAAAUUUAUUUAUCUACUUGUUAUUAAUUUUUAAUAUUUUUUUAAAAAAUUAAUAGAGGGGAAUAGAGUUGUUUGGGAUGAAACUCAAACUCAUAUGCCUACAACAUAAUGCUCUUGCCAUUGGGUUGAGAAGUUUGUUGGCAUUAAUUUUUAAUAUUUUUAUAGGGUGAACUACACCUCUCAUCACUAAGCUACUUGUAAGUUUUGGUUUUGGUCAAUUAACUAAAAAAAUACAACUUGUGUUCUAGAGAGGCAUAUUAUGCAAUUUGGGUAGUCAGAUAUAUGACACUAAAGGAAGCCAUUACAGGUGAGAAAAGGGAGCUUCAAACCUAUAUAUUUACUCCAUUUUGUAACAACAAACACAUCUGUUCAUCCAUAAAUAUAGAAUACAUUAGUUAUAUUUGACCUUAAUGAUGACCUAAGAAUUUGGUAAGGUUACGGAUGUUUAACUUUGCAGUACCUAAAUUCAUCAUUUGAGGUCUCAAAAUAUCAACUACAAACUAGACUUACAAAAAACCAAAAGCAUUGAAGAAAAUUCCAAGUUAAACAUGGGCUAUAGACUAUUGUUGACUAGAUUAGGAUUGAAGCGAGAACAAUUACCAUCUAGUCCUUCCUCCUAUAAUGAUGUGAUGCCAGUCAAUUAUGUAAUAUAGGUUGCAGUAUCCGGAGAUAAAUUAGUGGUGUGGCUGGAAUUAGCGGAAAACAUUAGAUAUGAAUAUGCUAUGAGUUUAGCUUGAGUAUAUUCUCAACUUCUUAAAUGCACACAAGAUGAUUGGCAGCGUUAAGAAUGGAAACUGCAACAAUAAAAAAAGAGGGUACUAACCAGAUACAUCUCAUGAUGGAUGACCGUUGUAUAAGAAUGGAUUGAAAAAUUCUAUUCACAAGUAAUAUGAAUAGAGACUACUUGGUUCCAACGGAGGAAAGAUUUUCUUGGCUACCCAGUCGAAUUGAACUCCCUGCAACUGUAGUGGAUACAUAUGGGUUGGAAGGGGUAGGGGUCAUAGAUCCCAUGGGUCUCGACAAUGGUGGUCUUAGGCUUUCAUUGUAACAGCUCCAUUUUUAGUGGUGUCAGAAAUAGUAAUUUUGGAUCACUAAAUUCGACAAGUAAGUUUAAAAUUUUAAUAAAUUAAUAAUUAUGGGCAAUUGUGAAUUUAGAAGAAUUUUUGAAUUAGUAAAUUUUGUGAUUUAAAAAAAAAGAGAGGAAUUUAAUAAGUAAAUUGGGUCUAAAACGAGGUAUCGAGACCUCGAAUGCAUAAUUUGAGCCACAAAUAUUUUUACAAAUAUUUAUGGAGUGUUAUUGAGUUAGUAUUAAAGUUUCAUUAGAAAAUUUUAACGUUUGGAUAGUCAAUUAAAUAAAAGGGACUAAAUUGAAAAAGGUGCAAAACUUGCUAAAAUGAUUAAAUAGCUCAAGUGUUAAAUGAGGGAGGACUUAAAAAGCAAAUUAGCCUAAAGGUAAUGGAUAAGGCGGCAUAAGAAAAAAAAUAUGAAAUUAGGUGAACUAAGGGUAAAAUGGUAAAUUUUAUAAAAUUAAACAAAUAAAUAGAAAUUGAAAGAGAUUUCUAGGUCAUUCUUCUCAUAAUUUCGGCUAGACAGCCAUGGGAGAGAGCUUUUAAGCUGGUUUUACACAAUUUUACUACAUGUGAGUUUAUUUCUUUCCCUUUUCUUAUAAUUUUUGUAGUUUUAAGACUUUUGCAAUUAGGUCCAACUAUCUAAUUCAUUAGUUUUUGAUUUUAUGGGUGACUUUAAAAGUUACCAUGAAUAAUUGAUGUAUGAUUGUGGUGAAUUAUUAUGGAAUUGAAGUUCUUUUUUAUUAAAUGAUGAUUUUAUUAAAUGAUUUUGAUAGAAAUUGAUUUUAGGACCUAAUUGUGAAAAAGUUAUGAAUUAAGGUUUGGUACUGAAAUUUUGAUUUUCAAAGGUUUUGUAGUAGCUUAUAAUGAAUAAAUAAAGUGUUAAUUGAGAAAAAUUAGUUUAAUUGAUGGGUUAAUUGAGUAGGGACUAAAUUGUAAAAAUUAUAAAAUUUGAGACAAAAGUGUAAUUUUAGGAAUAAAAGGGUAUAAACUAUAAAGUAGAGUUUACAAUUAUAGAUUAAGAACCCGAAGUGAAUAGUGGAAAAGAGAAAAUAGCCAAUUAGUUUUUGAACUUGUAUGACUUUUGCGAAUUUGCCUAGGUAAGUUCAUAUAGCUAAAUUCAAUUUUUUUCUUAUGAAAAUUUCAUGAAUGCUAUGGUAUAUUAUUUCAUAUGAAUGCUAUUAAAUUAUGAUAAUUGUGAAGUAAUGUUGGAGUAAAAGUACAAAUUAGGUGGAACGACGGAUUUAAGUACUUUCGUUCAGUGACUAAGACGAAUUGACGGUAAAGACCAUGAUUAGACCAUGGCAACGUGUGAUAUGUGAUUUCCGUAUAAGACCAUAGCUGGGCUAUGGCAUCGAUGUGAUAUGAGCUUCCGUAUAAGACCAUAUUUGAGAUAUGACAUCUGUGUGAUAUGUGCUUCUGUGUAAGACCAUAUCUGGGAUAUGGCAUCAGUGUGAUAUGUGAUCCGUGUAAGACCAUGGCUGGGCUAUGGCUUCGGUGUGUGAUAUGUGACUAUGUGUAAGGCCAUAUUUUUACUAUGACAUUGUGAUAACGAAGUACUCAAUUUCGUAAUCGUUCUCUAAUUUGAUUAAGAAAGGUAAAUGAUAAAGGGGCCCAAGAGAUUAAAAGUUGGUUAAUAAGUGACAUUGAAUACAAGAAAGUGAACUUAUCACUAAUUUUUUGAAUGACAGGAGGAUUUAGUAAAUUUAGAUAUUGUAUAAUUGUUAUAAUAUUUUCGGUAAGAAUUAUUCUCUAUGCCCAUGAACUUACUAAGCUUUCAUAAGCUUACUCCUGUGUGUUAAAUGUUCUUUGUAGAUUGACGUGAAAUUGGUGGAUCGGAUCAACACAUCAGAACACACUAUCCAGAUUACUUCGAUAAAAUUUAUUGUGCAUUUUAUGGUUUAUAUGGCAUGUAUAGAUUUUAAUUGAAAGGAAGUGAAGGUGUUAUGAACUUAAUUAUCAACAUUUUUCACUAAAAUAGUUUUGGACAGCAGCAGUAGUCCAAAUUUGAAAAAUCACCAAAAAAUUUGGAAAUCGACUUGGAGGUUGAAUAAAAUAUGAAAUUAAAUACUAUUGAGUCUAGUUUUACAAAGAAGAAACGGUGUAAGCAAAAGAAUCUUAUUUUAUAAGAUAUUUUAAUUUUUGUAAGAUAGAGUCAGAAUGAUUUCAGAAUCCCCUGUUUUGAAUUUGGAAAAUAUUUAAAAAUUUUAAAAAAAUAAUUAUGGAUUAUAAUUUGUAUUCUUAAAAUAAUUAAUGAGUCUCUUUUCAAAAAAAAACAAAUAGGAAUAUCAUCUGAAUUCCGUAUGAAGAGAUAAUUAAUUUUUAGUAAAGAAAGGUCGAAGCUGUCAAAUAGCAGAAUAGGGGUAAAUUUGAAGAAUAAAUUGUACUUAUUGGCUAAUCCAAAAAUUCUAAAAACUUUAUGGUAAAAAUAUAUGUGAGUCUAGUUUCAGGAAAAAUUAGCAGAUCUUAAUUUGAAAUUCUGUAGCUCCAUAUAAAAAUAAUUUAGUUACUAUAACUCGAGAAGAUAGCUUGACUGGAAUAUGAGCAAAUAGUGGAAUUAUAUGUAAUUAUUCUGUAAACUCCGAUAACAUCCUGUAACCCCGUUUUGGGGACGAAUGUGGGUUAGGGGUGUUACAUUCAUGCUCAUUGGAGGCCUUGCAACUGAUCUUGCAAUGUUUGUUGCAACUCUAAUUGCAGCAUUUGGUGGCGGCAUUGAUCUAGGGGAGGAAGCUGGUAAGCCCAUUUGAGCAGCAACUAUCUGUGUUCACUCAUGGUAAAGCCUUUGCCUUGACCUGUCCAAUUGCUUUGUCACCCUCAUUACAACUCCCUCCAUCUCAUUGAAGAAAGAUAAUUUGGCUUCCAUCUUAUGUAACUGGAUUGAGUUAAAGCUUCCAAAAGGUUAGAUAUUGCUUCAGUUGAAUGUGCAUAGGGAAAAGAGACUACAUGUAUUUAGCAACUGACCUACCUGCUUUUCUACUAAUGUUGCUGCUGCUGAAAGUGUUGUAACUGCAGCGCGCUUUAAUUUAUCAAUGUCACUAUUAUCUCCUCUCUCUGUAGAGUCAUGAUUCUUGCUUUUACCUUCUUCGAUCUGGUCUGCAAAGAACAAGAAGAUAGCCUAUACAACCCAAAAUUGAUCUAUGAAUUUUGCCAGCAGGUGGUUUGUUAGAAUUAAAUGACUCGAAUCCUUAUUUAAAUAAAAUACAGUGGUGAAAUAAAAUAAAAGUAAAAUCCAUAUAGAACUACACUUCUUUUAUUUUAUUUUUUAGAAUAAAGUUUUUUAAACCUUAUUAAACUCCAUCUAUUUUAUAUUGAUUAGAAUAAGGUGUUUCAGUCUUACUAAAAUAUGGCUUUACAAGCCUAUAACUAGACACAGUCUAUGCCUCUUGUAAAAAAAAAAUUCGAAUUCGACAUAGUGAAUUUUCUUCUCCUCUGCCUGUGGUUUUUUCCCGAAAGGGUUUGUAACACCCCUAACCUAUAACCGACAUCGAAUUAGGGUUACGAGGCAUUACCAGACAGACAGAACAUUUUAGAUCAAUUCAGAAUCACAGAUAUUAUUUAAUAUCAUUUCAUAAGCAAUCAUCUCUUAAGAUGGUCUGCGAAACCUAAAACAUAUGUUUAAGAACGGUUAGAGCUAAACCGAACACAUUCAUAAAAUUCAGAACAUAGAAAAUAUUUCAAUUCUGUUGACGUCAUACGCCCAUGUAACCAGGCCGUGUGCCUCACACGGGCAUCAGACACACCCAUGUGAACCAGCCGUGCCAAAAUAGGGUAACCAUACUGACUUUCACCCACGGCCAAUAGGCACGCCCGUGUGCUAUGGCCGUGUGAUACUUGGCUAGCUACUGACUUUAGCCCACAGCCACAUGACACGCCCGUGUCCCCUGACCGUGUCGUACCAUGCAGGCUUGAUUUAAGCCAAUUUGCCACCCCUUAUUGGGUCUAAUCCUACAAGCAAUAAUAUACAACAUUUAUACCAAAAUUUCCAACCAGUUUCAUGCUUAAGAAUGACCAAAACACAUUAGAACUUAACACAUUACAAGCAUACACCAAAACUAUACACAAACUUAUCAUUUGUUAGCCAACUCCCAUGGCAUAAUAUAUACACAACAAAACUUAUAUACAUAGACCUUCUAGCCUAUACAUGUUAUACUUUAAAAUAUGUAUACUUUCAAAAGUACCAAAAUGAGAUCGAUAGUGUGGUGACGAUCCUCGACUAUCCCCGAGCCUUUAGUAGCUACGAUAACUAUAAAACAGACAGUAAACACACAGAGUAAGCUACAAAGAGCUUAGUAAGCCAAAUACAAUUGAUCUAACUACUAAAGCAUAUAAGUACAAUUCAACCAUCAAGAUUCAUAACCAUUUCAUAGAAUAAUUCAUAAACUUAACCAUGCUCCUUUGUUUGCAUAUAUGUUAUACUUCAUUUCCAUACAUAUUUUACAGAGACAGAGUUUUUCAUAUUAAAAAAUUUAGUACGAUACAAACGUACCUGCAUAGGUUAUACAUUUCAUAUACUCAAUUUCAAAUUUCGUACGCUAUCAUCAGAUGGGUCAGAAACGAUACAGAUGCUUAUAAACAAGUACAAUACCGAAGUCCCGGACGUGGUCUUACAUGUAACUCAAUAUCGAUGCCUCUGUCCUAGACAGAGUCUUACACGAAAUCAGAUACAAUGCCGAUGUCCCAGACAUGGUCUUAUACGUAAAUCUCAAUCAAGGCCUGUGUCCCAAACACGGUCUUACACGAUGUCUCAGACAGAUGUCAACUUUGCUUAGGAACAUACAGAGCUUUUCAAAUAUUAUCAUAUUAUCAUACUUUACUCCAAAGAUAUUCAUUAGGCACUCAAGGUCAUCCAAUACAGAUUACAGAUUAUAUGUGCAGAAUUUAUUUCAAUUAACACGUAAUUGUAAUUUAACUUACCUCAGAUAGAUUUUGUACGGAACGAGUCGACUAUUCGACUAUUUUAGACUUUCCUCGAUCUAAGUCUGAUUUUCUUUGUUCUUGAUCUAAUACAAUACAAAUUCAACUAUUAAAUCAUUCAUUUCAUUCAAUAUAAUCCAUAUACACAUAUUUAGGGCACUUUUCAUUUUAGCCCUUACAUUUUCACACUUUGACAAUUUAGUCCAUUUUUCAUAAAAUCACAAAUAUGCAAAAUUUCUUUGCAACAAGGGCUAGCAGAAUUUUCAUGGCUUCUAUAUAAGCCCAUACAACAUGUUUAAUUCACAAUUUAGUCCUUCAAAACCUCAUUUUUAAAAUUUAACCCAAAUAGCUCAAUUUCAUCAAAAACUCAAAGACAAAACUUAUGAACCAUCUACCAAGCCUUCAUAAUUCAUUCAAAAACAUCACAAAACUCAUGAUAUCAACAAUGGCAUUUCAUGAAAUCUUUAACAGAAACAGAAAUUCAGACAUGGGUUUUGAAGAGCACGAAGCAACGAUCACAGAAACGUAGAAAUUAUCAAAAACCAAACAAAAAUCAUUUACCAAAUCAAGCUAACCAUGGCCGAAUAUUCAACAAGCUUUCAUCUUUUCCUUUCUUUUGAUUUUCGGCAACCACAUGCAUGAAAUGGCUAAUUUCAUGCUUUUAAAUUUUAUUAUAAUAACUUUAAUAAUCAUUUUCCCAUUUUUCCCUAGGCAUAUAUCAUUAAAAAUCCACCUACCAAUGCCCAUAUUUGUCCACCAUUAAAACAAAUGGUAAAUUUGACAUGCAAGGGUUUUAUUUUAAAAGCCAAGCCAAAUAGGUGCUUUAGCAUCUAGCACUCAACUUUUACACUUUACGCGAUUUAAUCCUUUUUUUAUAAUUAAGCACAGAAAUAGACAAUUUAAAUCACAAAAAUUUCACAGACAUAAAUUCACAUAUCACAGACACAGAAAAUAAUAUUAAAAGAUUUUUCAGAAUCGGAUUUGUAGUCCCGAAACCACUAUUUUGACUAGGGUCAAAACCCAAUUAUUACAGAGUUUCCACGUAAAAAUCUGUGUGUAUUUUAUUUUAUUUUAUUUUAUUUUUCACAAAUUGGUAUCAGAGCUUUCGAUUUGUUCAUCUCAAUCACGGUAAUGACAUCUUUGAAGUAUGAAAUUCCGCUAUUGGAUCGCAACACUAGAUUUGCAUUGUGGCAGAUUAAGAUGCAAGCAGUUCUUGUGCAAAUGGAUCUAGAGGAUACCCUGUUAGGGAUAGAUAAGAUGCCUUCGACAUUAACAGGUGAAGAGAAGAAACAUAAGGAUCGAAAGACGUUAACACAAUUACAUUUGCAUUUUUCCAACGAAAUUUUACAAGAUGUGAUGAAAGAGAAGACCGCCGCUGCAUUAUGGAAGAGGCUAAAACAAAUAUGUAUGUCGAAAACUCUAACAUGCAAGUUGCAUAUGAAGCAGUGUCUUUAUGCUCAUCGUUUGGAGGAAUGUGCAUCUGUACACGAACACUUAACAGUGUUUAAAGAAAUUCUCUCAAACUUGGAGGUCAUGGAGGUUCAGUAUGAUAAGGAAAAUCUAGGGUUGAUUCUACUUUAUUCGUUGCCCCCGUCUUAUUCAACCUUUAGAGACACGAUUUUAUAUAGCCGCGAGUCUCUCACAGUUGAUGAGGUUUAUUAUUCUUUGACCUCGUAUGAUAAGAUGAAACAUCUUGUGGUUAAACCCGACUCUCAAGGAGAGGGUCUCAUUGUUCGUCAGAGACAAGAUCGAAAUGUUGAUGACGAUCAUGGUAGGACACAGGAAUGAAAUACUUGCGGUAAAUCUAAGAGUAGAUCAAAGUCUUCAAACAGAGGUAAAACUUGUAACUUCUGCAAAAAGAAAGGGCACAUUAAAUCUGAGUGCUAUAAGCUACAGAACAAGAUUAAAAGGGAGGUUAUGAAUCAAAAGAGAAAACAACCAGAAAAUUUUAGUGAAGAUAAUGUUGUAGAAGACUACAGCGAUGGUAAACUUCUAGUCGCUUCAGUCAACAAUUCUAAAAUGAGCGAGGAGUGGAUACUUGAUUCAGGCUGCACCUUUCACAUGAGUCCCAAUUGGGAUUGGUUUACAACUUACGAAACAGUGUCUGAAGGUGUUAUUUUGAUGGGAAAUAAUACUUUGUGUAAAAUCACAGGUGUUGGAACAAUUAAAGUUAAGAUGUUUGAUAGAGUUGUCAGAAUACUUAGUGACAUACGACAUGUUCCAGAAUUGAAAAGAAAUUUAAUUUCAUUGAGUACUCUUGAUUCAAAAGGGUACAGAUACAUAGCUGAAAGUGGGGUUUUAAAGAUUUCCAAAGGUUCCCUUGUUGUGAUGAAAGGGCAGAGAAAGACUGCCAAGUUAUAUGUUUUGUAGGGUUCUACUAUUACAGGUGAUGCAGCUGUCGCUUCCUCUUCCUUCUCAGAUGAUGAAAUUACUAAACUUUGGCAUAUGCGUCUAGGGCAUAUGAGUGAGAAUGGCAUGGCAGAAUUGAUCAAAAGAGGACUUCUUGAUGGGAAAGGAAUUUGCAAACUAAAUUUCUGUGAGCACUGUGUUUUUGGGAAGUAAAAGAGAGUUCUAUCACCAGAAGAAUCCAUAACACGAAGGGAACAUUGGAGUAUAUUCAUUUUGAUCUGUGGGGGUCAUCAAGAGUGCCUUCGAGGGGUGGAGCUAAUUAUAUGCUAAACUUUAUUGAUGAUUUUUCUAGAAAAGUUUGGGCGUUCUUCUUGAAGUAGAAAAAACGAUGUGUUUUCCGCAUUUAAAUCUUGGAAAAUUAUGAUUGAAAAACAGACAGGAAAACAAAUUAAAUACCUCUGCACAAUGGCUUAGAGUUCUGUUCUAAUGAGUUUAAUAGAUUAUGCAAGUCAAAAGGGAUCUUGAGACACUUGACAGUUCACCAUACUCCACAGCAAAAUGGUGUUAUAGAAUGAAUGAACAGAACGAUCAUAGAGAAGGUUCGAUGUAUGUUGUCAAAUGCCAACUUACCCAAGUCUUUUUGGGCCGAAGCAGCAUCUACUGCAUGUUUUUUAAUCAACCGAUCCCCAUCCGUUGCCAUUGAGAAAAAGACUUCACAAGAGGUAUGGUCUGGUAAUCUUGCUAAUUAUUCUGAUUUAAAGAUCUUUGGGUGUCUUGCGUAUGCUCAUGUUGAUAAUGAAAAAUUGGAACCGAGAUCCAUUAAAUAUGUUUUUCUUGGUUAUAAAGCUGGUGUGAAAGGGUAUAAGUUAUGGUGUCCUGAAAAUAGAAAAGUUGUGAUUAGCAGAGAUGUUGUUUUUGACGAAACUGCUAUGCUAUCUAACUUAUCUAUUAAAGACUCUUCCAAUAAAGAAAAUCAAAAGUAGGUGGAGCAUCAGAUUAAUACAGAGUCGACUCCUCAAGCAGUACAAAAAUUGAGAAUAGAGUUGCUUUUUCACCGCAAUACUCUAUUGCCAAAAACAGAACUAAAAGAGAAAUUAAACCUCCAAAGAAGUAUGCCGAGACUGAUCUAGUUGCUUAUGCUUUAAAUGUGGCUAAAGAUAUAGAUGCGAAUCAAGAGCCAUCUAAUUAUUCUGAGGCGGUUAGCUGUGAAGACUCAGAAAAGUGGAUGUUUGCUAUACAAGAGGAGAUAGAAUCACUCUACAAAAAUAGAACAUGGGAUCUUGUAAAACUUCCUAAAGGUAAAAAGACUGUUCGUUGUAAAUGUGUGUUUAAAAAGAAAGAAGGGACUCCAGGAGUUGAAGAACCCAGAUAAAAAGCAAGGCUUGUUGCAAAGGGUUACAGUCAAAUUCCAGGAGUAGACUUCACAGAUGUGUUCUCCCUAAUUGUUAAGUAUAGUUCGAUCGAGCUUUGCUUGGUAUUGUGGCCAUGCAUGAUUUGGAACUUGAGCAGUUAGAUGUAAAACUGCAUUUUUGCAUGGAGAACUUGAGAAGGAUAUUUACAUGCAACAACCAGAGUGUUUUACAAUCUCAAAAAAAGAGAACUAUGUUUGUUUACCAAAAAAGUCCCUUUUACGGUUUGAAAUAGCCACCAAGACAGUGUUACAAGAGGUUUAAUUCCUUUAUGACUUCUCAUGAUUUCAAAAGAAGUAGUUUUGACAAUUGUGUUUACUUUAAGAAAAACAGUGAUGGUUCUUUUGUGUAUCUACUUCUUUAUAUUGAUGACAUGUUGAUAGCAGCAAAAGAUAAAGGAGAGAUAAAAAAGGUUAAAUCCCAACUAAGUGAAGAAUUUGAGAUGAAAGAUUUGGGACCAACAAUGAAGAUACUUGGUAUGGAGAUUCUCAAAGAUAGAAAAGCAAGUAAAUUGUACCUAAGUCAGAAGGGGUACAUUGAGAAAGUUCUUUGCAGGUUCAAUAUGCAGAGUGCUAAGCCUGUUAGUACUCCUUUAGCGGCCCAUUUCAGACUUUCAUCGGCUUUGUCUCCACAAUCAGAUGAUGAGAUUGAGUAUAUGUCACAUGUUCCAUACUCUAGUGCAGUGAGAUCUCUCAUGUCUGCUAUGGUUUGUUCACGUCCAGAUUUAUCAUAUGCAGUCAGUGCAGUUAGCAGAUACAUGGUGAAUAAAGAAAACUAGAAAGCAGUUCAGUGGAUUUUAAGAUACUUACGAAGUACUACUGAUGUCUGCUUACAGUUUGGAAGAACUAGAGAUGGAGUCAUUAGGUAUGUUGAUGCUGAUUUUGCUGGAGACCUUGAUAGAAGAAAAUCUCUCACAGGUUAUGUUUUUACAAUCGGAGGUUGUGCAAUCAGUUGGGAAGCCACUUUGCAAACUACAGUCGCUUUGUUUACACCGAAGCUGAGUACAUGGCGAUUACUGAGGUUUGUAAGGAAGCUAUUUGGUUGAAGGGACUCUUUAGUGAACUCAAUGAAGACCUUCAAAUCAGUACAAUAUUUUGUGACAGUCAUAGUGCAAUCUUCCUUACAAAAGAUCAAAUGUUUCAUGAAAGAACAAAACACAUUGAUAUUCGGUAUCAUUUUGUUCGUGAUAUUAUUGCUGGUGGUGAUAUUGUUGUAAGCAAAAUUAGUACUCAUGAAAAUCCUACAGAUAUGAUGACUAAGUCACUUCCUAUAACCAAGUUUGAGCAUUACUUAGACUUGGUUGGUGUUUAUUGUUGAAGUUAAACCCUUAAGGGGUUUUAUGGAAGAGGUGGAGAACUUGUUCGUUGGGAGUUCGCGAUGAAGAAUUUGUUAAUUGAGAAUUCGUGUCAAUGUGGAGAUUGUUAGAAUUAAAUGACCCGAAUCCUUAUUUAAAUAAAAUACAGUGGUAAAAUAAAUUAAAAGUAAAAUCCAUAUAGAACUACACUUCUUUUAUUUUAUUUUUUAGAAUAAGGUUUUUUAAAUCUUAUUAAACUUCAUUUAUUAUGGCUUUACAAGCCUAUAAAUAAACAUAGUCUAUUCCUCUUGUAAAUAAAAGUUCGAAUUCGACAUAAUGAAUUUUUUCUCCUUUGCUCGUGAUUUUUUCCCGAAAGGGUUUCCACAUCAAAAUCUGUGUGUAUUUUAUUUUAUUUUAUUUUUCACAUGGUUCUUAAAAUACAUACUACUACAGAACCUUGUAAAAGAACCAUUACGUAUCAAGUUUCAAUUUUCCUAGCUGCUCUAUGUAAAACCAAUAAAGAUAGCAUACGCUCAACCUUAUAGAACCAACUGUUGCUUCUAGCCUUCUUUGUAUAUUUUAAAUCAAACGCUACCUAUCCCUACAUAUUCCCAUAAGAUAUUGCUAAGCAUCUUGCAGUAGAGUUAGAUUCUGUUAAUGCAAUUUCCACUUUCUAACAAGAUAUUUAUAGAAGAAAGAGAGAGAAACCUGUCGUUACUCCAUUUUCAUUUACUGAGUUCGAUGUGUCUGGCUGUGGAGGUUCACUCCUUUCAGAUGGUUGAGAAACAGACACCAUUUGAACAUCAUUUAAUGCCUCUGCAGGCUUACUAGAUUUCCCACCAGGGCUUGGUUUAGAAGUUUUACGCUCAUUCUUUGAUCUGGAUGGAGAGCUGGAAGCUGUCUCUAGAUUUUCUGAUGCAUUUUCUGGUUCAGAUAGCUCUCCGCUGGCUUUGAUGCAGCUGCAUCACAAGGCUCGUUCUUUUUCAAUUGAAUAGAAUCAGACAUCUAUUUCCUUCACUGCUUUUGGAGGAUGAGAAGGUUCUUUAGCUGUUUCCUUCCCACCUGUCUCCUCUAGAGAACUUGGUAUAACCUGGGAUGUUAAGUUAUUUGAUACCCUUGUUAUACUUGGUUGAUGAUCCUUUGAUUGAUUAAUAAUGCUGGAUUCAUUCAAACUAGCUUUUUUUAUCUUCCUCAUAGUGGCAGAAUUGCUCGACUCUUUUUUAUCUGUGAUUAGGUCAUUGGGUGAAGCUGAUAUCGCAUUCUCUUCACGAAGAGAAAUUCAGUGUUAUGGUCACCAUGGUUGCUCAAUGAACUUUUCUGAUCCCACUUGAGGCAUUCGUCUUCUGUGUUUUUCAAAUUCUGAGCACCCCGAUUACCCGUAUCAUUGGCGACACCUUGUGUUUCUGACAGACAUCAGAUAACGUUCACAAAUUGCUAAGUAAAUAUAAGCUUGGCAUAGUUUAACGUACCUCUUACAACAUGUUCGUUCCUUCUUCUCAUCUGGUGGAUCUUCCAAAAAAAAGCAGUCCCUUGCAGCCAGUUGAAUGUUCGGACAAGUACCAGAUCAUGAUUUAAGUGAACUCUGGGCUGAAGCAGCAGCAAUGUUAGGUCCAACCAGAUGCGCAGAAAACCCUGCCUGCAAAUGGAGCGCAACUAUAUGUUUGUAACAUAUCACCAACAAAUAGACGAGGUAAAUGAUGAAUGGUGGAAUAAGUCGAGGAUAAUUUCGAAAUGUGAAAAUGGAGGAAUUAAAUUUUAGAAAAUAAAAAAUUAAAUUUUAAAUUUAUAUAAAGUAUUUAGACUUAUGACAUAUUUUAAUCUUAUUUUUAUUAUUUUUACAGGUUUAAUAUAACCUUAUUUUGAGACACAUGAACACAUAUUACUUCUAUAAUUUUUAAUUUUUUUCGUUAGCUAAAAUGAAUUUUGUGAAGAAUAAUAUUAAAAAAAAUUAAAUAUAAUGCAGUAUCCUCCUAGUAUUAUUAGGAUUACAAAGUUAUAUUUUAUAAAUAUAUAUUAGUUAGAACUGAAUUAGGAUUAUGAAAAUUAUAUUAUAUAUAUACCUUAGUUAGAACUAAAUUAGUAUCAUCAAAAUUAUAUGUAGAGUUCCAUAGUUUCAGUUUAAAGCAUAAGUCGAAAAAAGAAGAAGAAAAUAAUGUCAAUUUUAAUCAAUAAAGCUGUGAUUGUUAGGGAAGUAUUUGCUGACAAUUUAGAAUAAGAAUUUAUUUUAAUUCGAAGUGCACUCGACAACUAUUUUUUUAUUUCUAUGGAUACCGAAUUUUCUGGUACUAUUUUCAAACUAGAAAAAAGAAAGUUCAAUUAAGAAAUCCCAAAAUCAAUUACAAGUUCAUGAAAGUUAGUGUUGAUGCUCUAAAGAUCAUUCAACUUGGUUUAAUACUGAAUUAAGCUAUCAAGCAAGAUUUGAUAGUCUUCGCAUCCUUCAUUAUUUUAUACAAAUUAAGAGUAUGAAAACUUUUGAGCAUUAUAACCAAAAGUUGCCUGCCUUAGCAUUGUACGGACUGGUUUGAGUUAGAAAUAUAAUUUUUAAUUAUUUUUAUUUUUCAUAUUUGUUAAUUUAUUUGAAGUUAUAUUAUUUUCAAAUUUAGUAGAUUUGUCAAUUGAUCCUAAAUUAUACUUAUAUACUUUAUAUUGUUUUUAAUAUUUUUUAUAUAAAAUACAUUCCUAUUAUCAUUUUUUUUGCCACCAAUAAUAUUAUAAUUAAAUAUUCGUAUAUUUGUAGAUAGCACAAAUUUAAAAUUAACGGUAAUUGAUUUAUAAUCCUGUGAUGUCUGUAUUUUUUUUAGUCACAAAAAUAUUUUUAUAUUAAUUUUUUUUAUAAAAGGUUACAAUUUUUUUCCAUUUUAAUCAAUGAAGUCCCUCCUAUCAAAGGACUUUUAUUUUUGGCUAUAAAUUAAAAUUUGUAUUUAUUUUAAAUAAAUAUAUUAAAUAAACAAAAUAAAUUGAUAAAUCCAUUAAGUAAGGGCGACAGGAGGGUGCAGGUAGAGGCCAUAUGUUCAAUUCCCUAUAUGGGGUUAUAGAGUUCAAUAGUUGCACUAAAGAUUCAAGUGGAAGUGACCAAACAUGGAGAACAAUCAGGACCGAAAUCAGAAAUUUUUUUAGGUCGAAAUUAAAUUAUAAUUUUACGAUAGUAAAAAAAUAAUUUUAUUAUUUUAAUAGUCUAUAUCUUUAUAAUUUUUAAAUAACUAAAUCAAUUUUUUAUAUUUUUAGGGAAAAAUGUAAUUUUACUUUUAUUAAUUUAAAAUUUUAAAAAUUUUAAAGGAUCUAAAUAAAAAAAAAUUAUUUUAGGGGGGUCAGGUCCCUUGCCAGCUCCCUAAUUUCACCCAUAACAUGAAUUGUGAAAAUGUUAUGACCAAACAACCACUCGAGGUCUAUGUUGUAGGGUUUUUGAUGAGGAGUCCAAUUUUAUUAACUAGAAUUUUAUGGACAAAGCAAAUGAAGGCAAUCUCGAUCCUAAUGUUGGAUGUGAUAUCUCAGUACAAGGCAAAUGAAGCCAUAAAGGAGUUACUUCUAUGCAAAUAGCCAUUACCAUUUUAUUAUCAUUUUGCCACUCAACAUAUUUGUAUAGGAGUUCAAAUAAUUUAUUAUAUUCAUAUUAGCCACAUGCCCGUACCUAAUAAACACAUUUUGUAGAUACCAUACUACAAUUACAAGCAUCCAUAGAAGAAGUGUUUUGAUGGGGAAGAGGUGCCAAGGUUGAAUGCCUUACAUUUGUGUUUUAACACAUUAAAUAUGAAAAUAAUAUAAUAUUUAUUGUGUAGAUAUAAAAGUUUAAGGGUUAAUGUGAAAAAAGUUGUCAAGUUCAUGGGCUAAUUUAUAUAUUAAGCCUUCAAAGAUACUAAUAGCGUUAAUCAUAGGGACCAAUUUAUCUACGGUUACAAGCAUCCAUAAAUGGCGUGCUUUGAUGAAGAAAAGGUGUCAUGAUUGAAUGCAUUAUAUUUGUGUUUCAACACAUUAAAUAUGAAAAUAGAUAAAUAAAUAUAUAUAGUUCAAUAGUUUUAGCUUAAAGCAUAAGUUGUGAGAAUACAAGAAAAAUAAUAAUGUAGACUUUUGUUAACAAACAAGUGAUGGUUAAGGAAAUAUUUGCUAAAAAUUUGGAGCACGAGUUUUCUAUAGAUUUUUAAAUCAGAUAAAAAAAUUGUUCAAUUAGAAAAUCUUCAAUCAACUAUAAGUUUAUGAACUUCAAUGUUGAUGUUCUUAAUAUUAUUUAGCUUGGUUUAACAUUCUUUAAUUCCGAAAGUAAAUUAUCGGAUUUCAGAACUUCUUUUUGUUAUAAAUGGGAGUUUAAUUUUAAAGAUUUUGAUAUUGAAAAAGAUCUUUAUGAUAAAGAGUCUAUUGAGUUACUUAAACAACAAGGUAUAGAUUUUACAAGAAAUAAGGAAAAAUGUACCUGUUUGAGAGAUUUUGGCAUAAUGGGUUUGAUUUUUGGGUUGUGUUUCUGUGAAUUGACUUGGGUAACGUUUUAUAACGCUUAUGAUUUUGGGUUUUUGUUGAAAAUUUUGACUCAACAUUCAUUACCGUCUUAUCUCAAGUCUUUCAUGCGCUAUUUGAUUAUUACUUUGAUUAUAGAAUUUUUGACAUUAAGUACAGUUCCAAGAUCUUUAACUUACAUGGUGGGCUAGAAAAGGUGACAAAAACUUUAAACGUGACUCGUAUUGUUGGAUUAAGCCAUCAAGCAGAAGCUGAUAGUCUUCCCAUCCUUCAUUGUUUUAUGUAGAUUAAGAAUAUAAAAGCUUUUAAGCAAUGUAAUCAAAAGUUACUAGUCUUAACACUGUACGGAUUGGUUUAAGUUAGAAAUAUAAUUUAUUAGUUGUUUUUAUUUCUCGUAUAUUGAAGAUAUAUUAUUUUUCAAAUUUGAUAGAUUUAUAAAUUUAUUCUAAUUUUUACUUAUCUACUUUAUAUUAAUGUUAUAUAAAAUACAUUAGUAUUAUCUUUGUUUUGGCCACCAAUAAUAUUAUAAUUGUAUAUUUGUACAUAGCACAAAUACAUUAGUAUUACUGAAUUUUAAUUAACCCUAGGGAAGGGGCCUAUAGAUGGUUGCUUAGGUUUUGCUAUGACAAUGUCAUUACGUGCCAAAUUACAAAGAGGAUGCCUUCAAUUAAGUGAGAGCUUGAAGAAAUGGGCAGAGAUUGCUUUCUCUAUAAUUAAAUUUAGUUUUUAAUAUUUAUAUUUUUUAUUAAUUUAAUUUUUUAAAUUAAAUUUGGUCUUAAACAUUUUUUAAAAAAUCUAAUUUGAUUAUUAAUAUUUCAAAAAGAGUCUAAUUACAUUUUUUUAAACAUAUAUACUUACUAAAUCGUUAAAUAUUUAAAUAUAACAGUCAUAUGAUAAUCACGUGUAUAUCAUGCUUUUUUUUAACUUUUUUAAUAUAUUUUAAAAUUUUAAAAUUUUUUUCGUUAAAAUAUUUUUUAUAAUUUUAAAUUAUUUAUUAAUGUAAUGUAUAAGAUAUAUAGUGUCAUACUAAAAUAAAAUACAUAUGAACUAUCUUAUCAAUUGUCACCCUAACAUGGUUAAAAGAUUAAUGUUUUAAUUAACAUUUUCUUUAAAAAAAACUAUUGAACUUUUUUAAAAAAUUAAUCAUCAAAUUUAACUAAAAAAUAAGUUAAUAAAAAUGUAAAUAUUGAAAAAACUAAGUAACCUAUCAAUUAGCUGCCAUAAUACAAUAAUCACAGCAGUGAAAUCCCAUUGACCAUUACCAAUGGAGAAAAAUAUGAUAUUAGCCUGGAUUUUGAUUCUCAGCACCGCCAUGGCAGUAGCACGUUGCCAAGAUUAUUGUUGAACUGUUUAGAUAACAACUCAUUGAUACCAACAUUUGGUAUAUUGUUGAAAAAGAGUGUUAAGAAAGAUGGUGUGAAACAUAGUAGCAUCAAGGAAGAAAGUGUAGUGAUUUUCAUGCUAAUAGGAUGAGAUCCUAUCACUCAACCUACACAUAAUUUGCAUGGUUAGACAUCGAAUGCCUUUGACAAUACAGCACCGCAGAUGGAUUAAUAUAUGAUUGUUGCCGCAUAAAAACGAUCCUUCAACUUCAAGGUCCUCGUAGUUUUGCUUCAAUCAUUGCCUGAUAGCUCAACUUGCAUGUCUGUUUUGACCACUUGUACCCAUUUUCAAGCAUUACAAGGGCAGCUCUGGUUCCUGCUCUGAAACAGGGUGUUUUGAUCACCGUAAUUUCAGCAUUAAACAGGACAUUCGUCAAUGGAGAUUUCCUUGGGGACCCUCAAAUUAAUUUGAUGAAUAUCCCAUCCACCUUUAUCCAGCUGUUGAAUGAAUUCGUUGAACUUUUCAUCCAUCAUGGACAAACUUUUUGCAAGCUGAUCAAAGAUAUCUUCUGAGACAUUCAAGUUCUCGUGUAGCCAGUAGGUCUGCCAGACACUACGCAAGACAGAAACACUUGUAGCACCCACCUGCAGUAAAUUUUAGACAUGAUUAAGAGUUAAUCUCAGAAGAAUUGACUGAGUUUGUGUUAACACACAUACCUUGAAUGAAACAAAGACCUCAAAAUCUAUCUGCUGUUGGUUCACCACAAGAAUAUAUUUCUCUCUUGCAUAUAAUCUCAGGAGAGUUUUCAGCUGUUCUAGAAAAGAAAAAAGCAGCUUCAGUUGAUUGUAUUAGAACGUAUAUACAACCAGCAAAUAGUCAGGCAGUACCAUCGAGGUGGAUCUCCCACUGCCUAGCAUCUCCUCCAUGGGCACACCAAAUAUAAUCCGUGGCUUUAUGAAUCUCUGCCAUAAUAAAAUAUUUUCAUCCCUAUUGCAGUCAAUGCAUCCUAUAGGGACAAAUGAAAAAGAAUGGGUCAUUGCCGUUGGAACAAUAUCUUCCGUAUAAGCAAUAGUUAAAAAGGUAUAUAAUUUUACCAGGCACUCUAGACUGCAAAAUAUGUGAUUGUACUAGCAUACGGGCUCGCUUAAGAUUUAUCUGUCACAGAAGUCAACAAAGGAAGAUUAGUCUUACCAAAAUCAAACACUUGCAACUUUCCUAAGGGUUUUAUUUUGACCUUCAUGCUCCCUGGUCAGCAUGUGUAUAUUGAUUCCAAGAGAGCAUAAACAAUUAUAUAAUAUAGAUCUGUUGAGGGGUCGGAGCUUAAAUGGUACCAUCCUCCCCAUGAAUGACUAAAUGCUAUGUCAUAUAGUUGAGUUCAUUUAUGCGCAAACUCUUUAGUUUCCAACUUUCCAUGGUUUGGCUGUUUAGGCACUCCGAUGCAUUCAGACUCUGUGACCCCAUUAGGGUUCUCAACAGAAUCAGGAGACAAAACCCUGAUUAAGACAAAGACCAAAUGUGUCGAGGAUCUAACCCCUCAACAAGAUCAUAGAGAUUUUAUCAUGCAUCUCUCCAGGUACAGUUAAUGUUUGGCCUGAUGUACCCAGUUAGGAAAAGAACAUACUGUGUUAAAUUGUAGAGCUGAAAGUGACAGAUAACGCAACCAGAGGUGAAGAAGCCGCAUGCUUGCCCAUGUUGACACCAACAUCGGAUAUGAUUUAACAAGGCCAGGAGUAUCCUGCAUUUGUUGUUGUUGAUACUCAUUACAAACAUGUUAAAGCUACUAAGCUAGAAGCUGACAACUGCUCAAAAAUUUGACCUCCAUCCAGAAAGUAAUAAAAAAGGGCUAAAAUAUGCCAUAAGUCUCUAUACUCUUCGUAAAUUUGAAAUUUAGUCUCUAUACUUUUAUUUCUACGAACUUAAUUCCUUUACUUUUCAAAUAUCAAAAUUCAGACUGUUAACACUGGUAAGAUAUUAUGUGCCUUGGCGUAGGAUCUAGUCACAAGUCUAGACGAGAAAGAAUUCUUGCUUCGACCUAUGGUUACUCAAAAGGCAGAUUCGUCCUUAACUGAACCCCCGCCCCAAACUAAUGUUUGUGAUAAAAAUAAACUGCUUACUUUAUUUCAUAUUGGCAGCUUUUUUAUAGGCUGUUAAUUACAAAGGGAAAGUCCUAAUAGAAUUCCGAAUUUAAACUCCUAAUAGAAUUCCUAAUUUAAAGUUUAUAAGGAAAUAAAAAACCUAAUCUAAUAAGUAAAAUUAAUACUCCUAAAGAAAUUAAAUAAAUGUAAAACUCUAAUUCCUAUUCCUUCUCUGAUAUUGUUUUCCAAUGAAAACAUCCAUAUCAUUACUCCCCCUCUCGGAGUUGAGCUUGUCGUCAAGCUCAAAUUCAAGAUAAGCUGCUCGAAAACUAUCAAUUGGUUCCCAAGUGGCAUCUUCUUGAGGACAUACUGCCCAUUGCACUAAUAGUUCCCGUCGACCUCGAUUAAGCCUGGUAUUAAUAAUAGCUUGUGGAGUAGGCAAGGCCUUACCAUCAUAUAUUAAGGGCACGUCUCCUACCGCAUCUGGUUGAGGUCCCUUGUAUUCUUUGAGGAAAAAAACAUGGAAUACAUCAUGUAUUCUGCUGCCUGUAGGUAAUUCAAGCUGAUAGGCCACUGUUCCUAUUUUGUUCAAGACCUUAAAAGGACCAAAAUAUUUUGACAACAACUUGUGAUGCUUCUGUUUAGUUAUCGUCAAUUAUCGAUAUUGUUGAAGUCGUAACUAAACCCAAUCCCCGACUUUAAAAUUCAACUCUCUUUGUCCUACAUCAUAUGUGUUCUUCAUUCGUUGCUAAGAUUGCAAGAGUCUAUCCAGAGCAUUUUGUAAAAGUGCAUCCCUAUCUUGUAGAGCCUUAUCCACAGCUUCAAUCCUUGUAGAACCAGCUGAAUAGGAGAGAAGUCGAGGUGGAUCCCUACCGUAUACUAAUUGGAAAAGGGUGGCCCUUAGGGUAGUGUGAUAUGAGGUGUUGUAGCAAUACUCAGCCCAUGGAACCCAAUCGACCCAUUGUCGUGGACGAUCACUAGAGAGGCAUCGUAGGAACAUUUCUAUUGUUUGGUUAACUACCUCUGUCUGACCAUCAAAUUGGGAAUGGUAUGCUGAAGAAAAAGCGAGCUUAAUACCACUUUGACGAAAUAAUUCCUUCCAAAAUAGGUUGAGGAAAACUUUAUCACGGUCCGAAACUAUGGAUUCCGACAAGCCAUGAAGUCAGAAUACCUCUACAAAGAAGACCGUAACAACAGAUAUAGCAGUAAACGGAUGGGACAAGGGUAAAAAAUGAGCAUACUUCGAUAGUCUAUCCACAACCACCAUAAGUACCGAUUUCCUUUUUACUUUGGGUAGACCCUCCACGAAAUCCAUAGAGAUAUCAGCCCAAACAUGUUGUGGUAUUGGAAGAGGUUGAAGCAAACCUGCGGGCUGUAAAUUUUGCCAUUUGUGACGUUGGCAUACUAAACAAUGUUCCACAAAUUCAGAGGUUGCAAGCUUCAUUCCUCUCCAAAAAAAAUCUUGACGAAAAUGAUGCAAUGUUUUCAAUCCCCCUUCAUGUGCCAUAGCAUGUACAGAGGAAAUAAUAGUGGGAAUAAUUGGUGAGGUAGGUAAAAGGUACAACCUCCCUUUGAAGAAAAUCAACCCAUUUUGUGCGACCCAAUCGGAUCCCAAUUCUCUUUGUAGAAUUCUUUGCUGGAGUUGUGAUAAUUCUGGGAAAGUUUCUAUUUCUUGUCUGAUGGCUUUAAGAAUUUCAACUUGAGGGAAUAAAACAGUCAUGAGGUGUGGUAAGUUUUCGUCUUCUCUAAAUAAAGCAUCUAUAGCUCUAUUCAACUUUCCUACUUUAUACUCCACUAGGAAAUCAAACCUCAUUAGCUCGCUGAUCCAAUGCUGUUGUGGGGAUGUCAUAAGUCGUUGGUCUAACAAGUAAUUAAGACUGAAGUGAUCAAUACGGAUGAGGAAGUGCCUUCCCCAAAGAUAGGGUUGCCAAUGAAUCACUGCCUUUGCCAAACCAAUUAAUUCACGUUCGUAGGCAGCCAACUUGAGGUGUCGAUAUGCAAUCUUGCAACUGAAAAAGGCAAUGGGGUGUCCCUUUUCUUGCAGUACGGCUCCAAACCUGCUAUCCGAAGCAUCACAUUCUACCACAAAUUCCUCCUCAAAGUUGGGUAAUUGCAAGACUGGGACUGCGGAAAGAGAAGUUUUUAAUUGGGUGAAAUCAACAUCAGCUUUCUUAGUCCAAUUGAAGGCAUUUUUCUUUAGAAGAGAUGUUAAGGGUGCAGCCUCUUGUCCAUAAUUCUUGAUGAAUUUUUUGUAAUAUCCUGCCAGCCCAAGAAAGACUCGUAGAGCCGAGGUAGUUUUAGGAGUUGGCCAAUUGGGGACAUCUUUAAUUUUAGUAUGAUCAACCUCAACUCUUUCACCAUGGAUGACAUGACUAAGGUAGGUUACCUGAGACUCUCUAAAGAAACACUUGGAUUUCUUUAAGAACAACAUGUUAUCCCACAAGAGUUCAAAAACUAACCUUACAUGAUUCAUAUGUUCAAUCCAUGUUUUGCUAUAAAUUAAUAUGUCAUCAAAGAAGACCAAAACAAACUUACGCAAGUAAGGGCGAAAAAUGUCAUUCAUCAAACUCUGAAAAGUGGAAGGGGCAUUGGUAAGCCCAAAUGGCCUGACAAGAAAUUCAAUGUGUCCAUAAUGGGUUCGGAAGGUAGUCUUUUCCACAUCUGUAGUUGCCAUUCUAAUUUGAAACUAUCCCGACCGUAAAUCCAAUUUUGUAAAAUAUUUUGCCCCAUGAAGUUCGUCCAACAAUUCAUCCACUACAGGAAUUGGAUAUUUGUCUUUAACAGUGCAAGCAUUAAGCUCUCGAUAAUCAAUGCAAAAACGCCAUGACCCGUCAUGUUUCUUUACCAAGAGUACUGGAGAAAAGAAUAGUGAUCUAUUGGGUCGAAUGAUUCCUUGUAACAUUUGAUCACACUGCUUCUCAAUCUCAUCCUUCUGAAAAUGUGGAUAUCGAUAAGGCCUGACUACAAUUGGUCCCGCUCCUGGUUUAAGAGUUAUACGAUGGUUACAUUUGCGGUUAGGAGAUAACCCAGACGAUUCUUAGAAUAAAUGCGCAAAUUUUACCAGUAGUUUAUCCAAUACUAUAUUAGUUAAAUCCUGUCCUUGUAUCAAACUAAGUCGUGGAACUUCCUUUAGGUGCUGCCCUUGCCAUAGUAUCUUCUUUUUGUUUACUACAAAUUGCAUAGUUAAGGAGCUGAAAUCCCAUAAAAUUGGACCAAGGGUACACAACCAUUUAACCCCCAAAAUCAUAUCAAACCCUUCUAAUGGUAUUGUAUAAAAAUCAACUUGAAAGUUGUCAUUGGCCACAACGAACUGUACUGAUUUACAAAUGCCUAUGCUAGGAACCAGUUCUCCAUUUGCCACACAUACUUGUAGCCCAGAUUUUUUUUUGUAUUUUCAGUCCCAAUCUUGGCACUAGACCUUCACGUAGAAAGUUAUGUGUACUACCCGAAUUAACGAGAACUAACACUGUUUUUCCUGACACCUUUGCUGUUAGUUGUAUGGUAGAUGAAUUCCAAGUUCCUCUAAUGGCAUGUAAAGAAAUUUCAAGAUCAUCUACCUCAUCAUCUUGCUCAACUUCAAUAUCUGGUACUUCUAUCCAAAAUAGCCUUUUACAUUUGUGUCCCAUGGAGUAAGACUCGUCACAAUUAUAACACAAUCCCUUAGCCCUUCUUUUUGCCAUUUUUGUUCGUGUCAAUCUCUUGAUAAAUGGUGCGAAAGAACCUAUUUUGCUGUUAUUCCCCAUUGGUUUCGUUGUUUGCCCUCCUCCCUUUGCAGAGCUUUUAGUUUUUGGAAUAAUUGAAGUGCUGCCAGCGUUUUGGGAAGCUGACCAGUUUAGAUUGGUUUGAGAUAAUAUCUUGAAAGAGACUUUUUGUUUACGUUCCAAAGCUCGAGUCAUAUUCAUUGCAACUCUAAGGUUUCCCGGUUGUUGCAUCUCAAUAUCAAUUCUAAGUUCCUCUAACAAUCCGAUAAUAAAAAGGUUUACUUGUUGUGGAGGUUUAAGAUCAGUAGUCCUAGCCAGUAGUGAUUGAAAUUGGCAUUGAUAUUCUUCUACCGUCCCAGUUUGUCUCAGGUUUACAAGUUCCUCCAAAGGAUUAUUACUCAUAAGUGGCCCAAACUUGACAUGACAACAUUCUCUAAAGCGCUCCCAAUCCAGAUUUGUCUCCUCUUCUUCGAUUUGAUCAAACUACAAUUGUGCCUCUCCUAAAAGAUGAAAUGAGACUAAGCCUACUUUGUCUUCUUCGUUGGUUAAUUGCUUGCCCAAAAAAUUUUCGCAUCUUUUUAACCAUCGUAAAGGAUCUCCAACACCAUCAUAAGUGGAAAACUCCAUCUUAGAGUAUCAUGGCACCAUGCUCCCACCGUGUUGCAAAUCUGAAUUUCUUUUCUUGCCUCCACUGUUGCCCUGUUCUUCAUUAUUUUUUUCUGAAUCCCCUUUCGUUGUCUUUUGGACCGAAAGCCAUCUGCUCCUCUAAUGCUUGUUGCCUUGUAGCCAUUUGUUCCAUGAAUGCCUCUAGCUUGGCUGUCAAAGUUUUUUCGUCACCCAUGACAGCUGACUCCGAUACCAAGUUGCUAUGUGCUUUGGCGUAGGAUCUAGUCACAGGUCUAGAGAAGAAAGAAUUCUGGCUUCGACCUAUAGUUACUCAAAAGGUAGAUUCGUCCUUGACUGAACCUCCUUCCCAAACUAACGUUUGUGAUAAAAAUAAACUGUUUACUUUAUUUCAUAUUGGCAGCCUUUUUAUAGGCUGUUAAUUACAAAGGGGAAGUCAUAAUAGAAUUCCUAAUUUAAAGUCCUAAUAGAAUUCCUAAUUUAAAGUUUAUAAGGAAAUAAAAACCCUAAUAUAAUAAGUAAAACUAAAACUCCGAAAGAAAUUAAAUAAAUGAAAAACUUUAAUUCCUAUUCCUUCUCAGAUAUUGUUUCCAAUGAAAACAUCCAUAUCAUAAGAAUAUUUUAUUAAAUUCAGGUUCAUUAUAACGUCAAGUGAGUUUUUUUUUUUAAUUACAAAAUGUCACGCCAACAAAUUUAACAAAAAAAAUUAACAGUGUUAACAAUUAGAUUUGAAUUUUGAAUUUUGAAUUCUGAAAAGUAGAGGGACUAAAUUCCUAAAAGUAAAAGUAUAGGGACUAAAUUCCAAAUUUGUGAAGAGUACAGGACCUAUGACAUAUUUUAAUCUUAAGAAAACUGCACAACAUACCAGGAUCACUAUGCCAAGAGAAAGACCAAGCAGCUGAGCAGUUACUUCCCAAACCUCCUCCUAGAAAUUUUGUUCAAUUAAUUAAUUACAAACUCAAUUUUAUUUUAUAAAACAGUCAUGUGUAACUCGUACAGGCAAAAAAAUUUCGAUAUCUAUAAAGAAGCAUGCCUGCUAUAAGCCUAUACAUUUACAUUACCUUAGCAGACACCUCUCCCAGGUUUCCUGAUAUAGCAAAAUGGUUUUGAAUCACUCGGAAUGAAGGAUCUUUAAGUCCUCUUGCUACUGCCUGGUCAGAUUUCAAUCUUCAGCAAAUUAAUGAAAAACAAUUUACAAGACCAACUAUUUUUAGCUUGCAUUAAAACUGGCACAAGGAGCUAUGUGUCUAUUACUAUAACUGGACUUAGGUAUAAACAUGAUAGGUAGUUCUUCCCUGUUUUCUUUUAUAUAAAAGACAUAUUCAUUGAGGAUGAGUUCAUAUAGAAAGAGAAUACCAGGACUAGUAUGCCUGGUGCAAUACCUUAGCAAGAUUGCCAAGAGAUGCCAAUGGUAGGAAAUAGGCAGGAUAAACUUGUGUUGUUAGAUCAAAUAUGCUGCAAGAUAAAUUAAGAUAUUCAGUGGUAUCUACCAAUUCUUGUAUAAUUUAAGAACUCUAAAGUAAAUACAAACCUUCCAGCACUGCCAAUGAAAUCCGCAUACAUGCGCCACUGUUUAGGAUCAUCAUCAAAUAGAUUUCCAAAUCGACCACCUAAAGGGAGAGCAAUAAUAACUAAUAAGUUUCAUCACCCAACUUUUUUGAGCUUAAGCUCUUUCAAAAAUUGCCAGACCAAUGAAUAAGCGGCCAACAGCCCCAAUGCCAUCUUUGGACACCCAUCUGCACAAUGCAAACAGCUCAAUGACAUACAAGACCUUGUAGAUAAAAGGAAAAAAAAAACAUGAUGCUUCCGUUAUCUGUAAACCAUCUACAGGAUCAAGUCCACACACAAUUGCAGAAAAACAUUGUUCUUUUCCAUUCUGGAGUAACAAGCAUGGACAUAAAGAUUUCAGGUAAACAUAGAUAUCUAAAAAUCAUGGAAAGUUACCUAAUAGCUGCAGCAGAAGCAGCAGCAGCAGUUCCUGAGAAAGAACCAACCCCAACAGCCUGCAAUCCAGGGAAAAAUAGUAAUGCCACAUAAGCUUAAUAAAACAGAAGCAAUGAUGAAUAAAAGAUUCAUCAAGAUAAAAACUAAUCUAGAAAUGAUAUUGAAGCCUUAUCUGCAAAUUCACAUACUCAAAAACCCACUCUGGUCAGCACCACCCAAAAAUACACACUAACUGAUACCAAAUGAAAUCAAAUUAUAAUUAUCGACACCAGAGAAAACUACAAUCCUAACAUCCUUCCCCUUUCCAUAGAAAGCAAUAAUUUUACAGUCUUAAAAGCAUUUUGUCUUCUUUCAAGCCAAAAUGGAGUGAAAAAUCCUACACAUCACAUACCCAAGUAAGGAUAGUGGCCGGAGUUAGAUUCACAUGCCUUAAGAAGACUUGAUGUAACUAAAGUGUGACAGAUCCAUCCAGUAACAUUUGUGGGAAACUGUAACAACAUGUAUUGCAAGUAAUCAUCCGAGACAGACCCUGCAUUGAUUGAAAAAAGAAAAAGGACAAGCAACUGAGUUGAUACUUGUUAAACAAGAGAUUUGCUUAUCUGGACAAUGUUAGAGGUGAAUAUAUAAAGGAAAAAGAACAAACGAAAGGAAAUGUUAGGUGUUAGUUUACCAGGGAAACCCGCAGGCAAGAUAAAUUCUUUGAGGACUUGUGGUAGCCAAGACAAAUUUGGGUCAGAUAAAUUUGAUCCUUGGAACUCGUUGCUAGUUGAAUCAUGUUUCUCAAGAAAAGCUCGAAUCUGCAAAUCAUCAUCAUCAUCAUCUAACAUGUAUCUGAUCAUCAUAAAACAUUGAUCAACAGCAACCAUUCAGAUUCCAACUUUUAAUAGUGCCAUAGCCAUAUCCUUUCUACAAAAUAAAAGGGAAAUAAAAGCUAGGGAAUAAACCUUUUAAUAGUACCAUUUCGAUAUCUCUCUAAUAAAAUCACUUGGUCUUGACUUCUAUGCAAAAAGAAAAAAGAAAUGUUAAAUUGAGGGAAGUGAGGGAAAAUAAAACAAGUGGUUGAUGAAGGAGCAGGUACCUAUCAUUUUCAGUAUGUUGUUGCCCACCUUCUUUUGAAGAAUGGAGGGUUCGAAGAUUGCCUAAUCUCUUUUCGAUGGUGUUUCUUGGAGAAAGAAAAACCGGUGAAGGGAAUGGGAGUUGCAGAGAAUAAGAGAGAGACAUUUUAGGAUGAAGUGAGGUUUAAUAGAUAUUACUAGUUCAUGGACGGUGGGUUUUGUAAGAAAAGUUGAAAAGAUUCACUCUUUUUCACUGUCGGAGCUGAAGAGGAAAAGCGUCACCCUCUAUCUGCUUUCUUCCUUCCCUAGCCAACCAAAUCCCGGAAUUUAAUUUUAAUAGCGUUGCAAACCCGAUUUGAGAAUUCUUGGGCAAUUCGACUUCUCAAACCCAGCCCAUUGCUCAAUACUCAAAACGGGACAUUUGAAGAUUUUCAGAAUUGGACCGUAACAUUGUUGGGCAAUCCACAAUAAAUUACUAAAAUAAUCAUUUUUAUUUAUCACGAGUUAUAUUGUAAUUUUUUUAUAUUUAAAAUGUUAUAUUUUAAUCGCUUAUAUUAUCAUAUUUUAAUAUUUUAAUUACUGAGUUAUUAACAGUGUAAUAAUAAACUAACAUGGCACGUUAAUUUAUGUUAAUUUAUACAAUCGGUCUCCAAAUUUUUUCGCUUUGAACAAUUUAAUUUUUUUUCUUUUAUGUUUUUUAACUUUUUUUCCAUUAUCUUUUGCUUAUCCAUCUGAUUUCUUUCUUUCUCCAUUUUUUUACAUAGUUUUUUUUUAUGUUUUCUAAUUAUUAAAACUAAUCCCUAUAUUUUUUAUUUUUUUGAACAAAUUAAUUUUUUCGAGUGUGCUAGUUUGUGGACUAAUUGUAACAAAUAGAAAACAUAAAAAAGCUACAUUAAAAGAAAUGAAGAAGGGAGAAAAAGACAGAGGGAGAAGCAAGAGAGAAUGAAAAAUAAAAAUAAAUAAAAAAAAGUUAAAAAAACAUAAAAGAAAAAAAUUAAUUGCUCAAAAUAAAAAAAAUAGGGACCAAUUAUAGAAUUUAACCUAAAAUUUUUAUUUGAAAUGAUGAUUUAACGUGUCAUGUCACUUAUUGUUACACCGUUAACGGCAAUUAACGGCUAAGUUAUUAAAAUAUUACAACACGAUAACGUAAGUGACAAAAACAUAACAUUUCAAACAUAAGUGACUAAAAUGUAAACAGUGGUAAAUAAAAAUGACUAUAUUAAUAGUUUACCCUUUAUUCAAUAAUAUUAACAUUAAU
rnacentral:lncRNA from 1 species